GAUUCUAGUAAAGAGAUGGGCCUUCUCGUCUGAUCUCUGCAUCAACAGGAAUGCGGGAAAAGCUUCUUCUUCCGCCCGUAAGCUUGAACUGGUUGCUAUGAAUCUUAGCCAGUUUCUUCUUACUCCUUUUGUUCUCAUUCCCGGCCAACCGUGCCAUGAAGAGUCGAGCAAGAGCAAUCGCAGCUUUCUCUCUGCCUUCGCAAACAUGUGCCAUUGAGGGGAGCUUGCCUUCGAAGCGCAAUCGACCCUCUUUCUUCUUAAUACUAGUGAACUUUGAGAAUAUUGGCAUGAGUUUUUUCACCGGGCUUGGACCAUGUCUCCCGAACAAUCUCAGUACAUAUGGCGCAAGACGAUUCCACAUAUCGAGGUCGGAAUGGGAUCGGGUGUUUUCACGUCUUACCGUAGUGCCCGCUUUGUCUUGAUUUCCGAUUGAUGAACAAGAAGGAAAAUGGAACAAUUCGAUUUUUUACUCGCCCCCGGCUACGUGUCCUUUGGACCCUUCGCCCGCCCGCCACCAGUGGAAGCAAGCUAGCCCCCUAUGUUGGAAAGUUGGGGGAAGAGUGCAUUUCCAUCGCGAAAGAUUCAAUCCAGCCACAGGUUCCCCUACGGCUACCUUGUUACGACUUCACCCCAGUCGAAGACCCCACCGUGGUAUGCGCCAAUAAGACCACCAAAGGCCUUUGUGGCACUAGUGUGCCACAGAAGUAACUACUAACUUUGCCAAUUCAAGCCUAAAUCUACACCGGUCUACCAAAAUAAAUUCUGAUCACACUCUUAAGUCACAAAUCAUCCCCCGAAGCUAACCAAAACACCAAAAUUUUCAUCCGGGGCCUCUAACUAAAUAGUCAACUUUCUGUUGACUUUUUCCAAAACAAGCUUCCCUUUAAGAGACUAAGUGUCUCAUUUCCAUCUAAAACUAAUCCAAUUCUAAUUUAUCACAUCAACUACCGAUAAUGAAGCAUAGAGAAACAUAAUAGGAAUUGGGGAAGUAACUCAAGUGACGACUGUCCGGAUUGUCACAGUUGGUACUAAUUAAGCUCAAGUAUGUGCAUCUUUCCCGAAUGACUCCCUCAUUUAAAAACAACUUCAAGAAGUGCAAGGGAGUUUCAAAAUAAUCAAGUGACAAGAUUAAGCCUCAAGAGGUGACUCAAAAACACUAGUCCACUACAUAUGCUCAACUCACUCAAUUUCACCAAUCCUUCCUAAUUCAUGUGCCUUCACAAGAAAGAAAGUCCCAAAAUCACUAUAUUUACAAUCCAAUAUAAGGGACAAAUUUACAAAUACACUCACUCUCACAAAGAAUUUCAAGAGUUACAUCAUCUUGUACCAUAAGUGUCAUGACCCUAGUUCACCAAUGGUGAACCUGUCAUGAUGACACCCAGUCUUCGCGACUAGGUAAGCCGAUACAUUGCGGAAAUCGAGAAAAUUUUAUGAAUACGAUAAAUAAUACUGAAUUGCAUAAGAAAAUGUAUAAAAUGCCACCUGGCACAUACAUAUCGACUCAAAUAAUGUAAGAAAACCUCCAAGACCCGGAAACCAAGAGGCAACACAGGCUAAGAAUAAACAUAUUACAAUGCUCUAACAUCCUGAGGUGUCUAUAACAACUGAGUAUAUGAAAGAAACUACUGACUAAAGAUAGAGUAGAAGAAGGCUCUUCGGCUCUGCGAACGCGGCAGAUGCAUACCUCAAGCCUCCAAACGUAGCUUCGAAAUCCCUAAUAGUGCGCCUGACCAGAUGUACCUGGAUCUGCACAACAAAAGUGUGCAGAAGAGUAGCAUGAGUACACCACAAUGGUACUCAAUAAGUGCCAAGCUUAACCUCGGUUUGGUAGUAACAACGACGGUCAGGGCCCUACUGAGGUCAAAUAAAAUAAAAGGUAUAACAGUGUGGAGGUAUUUAGUAAGUGCCAAGCCUAACCUCGAUGAAGUAGUGACGAGGAAGGUCGAGUCCCUACUGAAGUAAACAUAAGAAUAAAUAUGAAAUGACAUAACAGUAGGAAAUACGUAAAUCUCUAAUAUCUAACAAACAAUAAGAAGAACGGAAUAGACUACAUUACAAUUCUACCAAACAAGAACAACCAUUAUAGGCUAUUUAUCAACGGGGAUCUCCAAGUAUCCCGAGGAUCUCCCAGUAUCCUCAUCAUAUAAGCAAGGGAUCUCCANNNNNNNNNNNNNNNNNNNNNNNNNNNNNNNNNNNNNNNNNNNNNNNNNNNNNNNNNNNNNNNNNNNNNNNNNNNNNNNNNNNNNNNNNNNNNNNNNNNNNNNNNNNNNNNNNNNNNNNNNNNNNNNNNNNNNNNNNNNNNNNNNNNNNNNNNNNNNNNNNNNNNNNNNNACCAGUAUCCUCAUCACAUAAGCAAGGGAUCUCCAAGUAUCCCGAGGAUCUCUUAGUAUCCUACAGUUAAUCAGUCCUGCCCUGGGGAUCUCUUAGUAUCCGCCAGAAAAUCAAUUCUGCAGUGGGGAUCUCUUAGUAUCCGCCAGUCAUAUAAUCCAGUGCCGAGGAUCUCUUGGUAUCCCGCACUUCCAAACCUCGAAACAAAAUACAAACAGGGGGAGCUUUCGGGAUGCCAUCCUGUAGUCCCAAUAGUAAAUACACCAUAACAAACCACUAUUUAACGGCAAUGAGGCGAAAUGCGAACAACAAAUAAUAUCGAGAAUCUAACAUGCUUCACAGAAAUAAAAUACGAACAGGGGGAGUUUUCCGGAUGUCGUCCGGUAGUCCCAAUAGUAAAUACACUACAAUAAACCAAUAUUUAACGACAAUGAAGCGAAAUGCGAACAAAAAAUAAAAUCGAGAAUCUAACAUGCUUCAUAAGAAGGACAAGUAUUGCAAUUUAAAUCAAAUAAGGCAAAUAAGUUGCUAACAUGUUUUCCAAGAGAAGACAGAUAUUACAAUUUAGUCAAAUAGAUCAAGUAAAUUACUAGCGUGCUCUUCCUAAGUCAAAACAUGUGAAGUUUCAUUUUUAACAAUUAAAUAUGUGAAGAAACACAGUCUAAAUAAGCCAAGUAAGGUGAAUUUUUCAACAACUAGCACAAGUAUCCCGAGGAUCUCCCAGUAUCCUCAUCAUAUAAGCAAGGGAUAUCCAAGUAUUCUGAGGAUCUACCAGUAUCCUCAUCACAUAAGCAAGGGAUCUCCAACUAUCCCGAGGAUCUCUUAGUAUCGUCAAGUUAAUCAGUCCUGCCAGAAAAUCAAUUCUGCGGUGGGGAUCUCUUAGUAUCCGCCAGUCAUAUAAUCCAGUGUCAGGGAUCUCUUGGUAUCCCGCACUUCCAAACCUCAAUAUAAAAUAAGAACAAGGGGAGAUUUCCGGAUGUCGUCCCGUAGUCCCAAUAGUAAAUACACUACAACAAACCAAUAUUUAACGACAAUGAAGCGAAAUGCAAACAACAAAUAAAAUUGAGAAUCUAACAUGAUUCGCAAGAAGGACAAGUAUUGCAAUUUAAAUCAAAUAAGGCAAAUAAGUUAUAACAUGUUUUCCAAGAGAAGACAGAUAUUACAAUUUAGUCAAAUAGAUCAAAUAAAUUACUAGCAUGCUUUUCCUAAGUCAAAACAAGUGAAGUUUCAUUUUUAACAAUUAAAUAUGUGAAGAAACAUAGUCUAAAUAAGCUAAGUAAGGUGAAUUUUUCAACAACUAGCACAAGUACACGCCCGUCACCUCGCGCACAAGGCAUUUAAACAGUGGCAAGGAUAUCCUAAGGGGAAGGGUCCCCGACACAAAGUUAGGCAAGCCACUUACCUCGAAUUGGUACAAUACCGCUAAGAAACAAUGCCCUUGCCACGAGUAUCCGACUUCGAGUGGCCCAAAUCUAUUCAAACCAAUUACAUUUUGUAUGUAACAGCGCAAGCAACUGAUUACAAUGUUAAAAUUAAAGCUAAGGCACGAAAAUAGGUAAAAUGACCAAAACUCCCCUCAGGCCAACGUCUCGGAAUUGAAUAAUUUUCACAUUUUCAGAAACCUCGUACUCUUACGAGUCUAACCAUAUAAACAUCUCCCAAAUCGGAGGUCAAAUGCUCCCUCAAAUCCCCAUUGUUUAAUCAAAGAACUUCUACUCAAUUCCUCCAUUUUUGGACCUCAAUUUGAAUAUAAAAGAUGACUUUAACAACUAAAUGAUGGGUUAAAGCUAGAAAGGAUCAUAGAAACGCUACCCAAUAAUCUCUUCGUCAAAACUCACUCGAAAUCGCCUUGGUCUGAGCUCUCAAUUUAUUUUUCAACUUAUGAAAUUUAAGCCUCGGAUAAACCAUUUUCUCUACAGUGAUUUCCGCUUUUGCGGAUCCAGGGACCGCUUCUGCGGUCCCGCUUUCGUGGUCAAACAGUCGCUUCAACGGUUUCACUUAAAUUGUCGGUUUCCGCGUCCGCAUACAUAUAUCGCGAAGGUGACCCCCGCUUCCGCGGAAAGGUCUAUCGCUUCUGCGGUCUCCUGACCCAGGGCCCUUUCCGCUUUUGCAACCUCUGAGCCGCUUUUGCGGCGCCUCUUCUAGGGUCCCCAAGACGCAGAAGCGUAAACAACAGAAGCAGCACAUGAACUUCAUCCAAAAAUUCCAAAACUAACCCGUCGAGCAUCCGAAACACACCCGAGGCCCCCGGGACCUCAACCAAAGAUACAAACCUAUCCCUUAACAUCAUUCAAACUUGUACCAAUCCUUAAACUACCUAAAACAACGCCGAAAACACAAUUUAAUGAAUGACUUGAACUUAAAAUCUCCAAAACUUAACCAAUCUCUUAUUCGACUCAAAACCCAAACAAAACCCGUCCAAUUGACAUGAAAUUUCACACGCACGUCCAAAAUAACAUGAUGGUGGUAGAGAAACUUCCGAAAUCCCGUUCCGACCCUCGGAUAAAAAAUUUACUAUCGGACCGGAAACUUCAAAAUUCUAAAUUUCGACAUUUCUAGCCUAAAUGAGCUACGGACAUCCAAAAUGCAUUCCGGACACGCUCCCAACCCCUAAAUCACCUAACGGAGCCAACGGAAUCAUCAGAUUUCCAUUCUGAGGUCGUCUGGACACUGUUCUAAUAAAGGACCAUUUUCCUACAGUUAAGCUCUCAUUUAGGGACUAAGUGUCCCAAAAUACUCCGAAUCCUAUUACUGAACAUACGGGCAAACCAAAAUAGCAUAAAUGAACUUAGGGGAAAAAGUUAAUGGGGAAACGGGGCAUAAAUUCCAAAGACGUACGGCCGGGUCGUCACAUCCUCUUACACUUAAACAUUCGUUCGUCCGCGAACGAGCAUAGAGAACAUACCUGAAGUAGCAAAAAAAUGAGGGUAUCGGCUGCACAUAUCCCACUUGGUCUCCCAAGUCGCCUAUUUGGCCAGUUGGUCGCCACCGAACCUUUACUGAAGCUAUAUCCUUUGACCUGAGCCUUCGGACCUGCCCGUCUAAUAUUGCAACUGGAUCCUCAACAUAGGACAAGUCAUUUUCCAACUGGACUGAAGUGAACUCUUACACGUGAGACGGAUCAGCAUGACACCUCCGGCCAAACUGGAUGAACCCCGGCCAAACUGGGAGGUAAGGCAAGCUCAUAAGCAACCUUCCCAAUCUGCCUCAAAACCUCAAAUGGGUUGUGCUCAACUUCCCUUUCAUUCCAAACCUCAUGACGCCCUUCAUAGGCGAGACUCGAAGCAAAACCCACUCACCAACCAUAAAGGAAACAUCACGAACCUUCCAGUCCGCAUAAAUCUUCUAUCAGGACUCAGCCGCAUGGAGUCUAUCCUGAAUCACCUUAUUUUUCUCAAUCGCAUCAUACACCAAAUUAGUGCCCAAUAGCCUGGCCUCCCCUGGCUCGAACCAACCCACCGAGGAUCAGCAUCUCCUACUAUAAGGCCUCAUAAGGCGCCAUCUGAAUACUGGACUGAUAACUGUUGUUGUAUGCAAACUCAGGCAAUGGUAAGAAUUGAUCCCAAGACCCUCUAAACUCAAUCGCGCACACAUGAAGCAUAUCCUCAAGAAUCUGAAUAGUGCACUCGGACUGUCUGUCUGUAUGAGGGUGAAAAGCUGUAACUCAUGUUCACUAUGCUACCCAACUCAUGCUGGACGGCUCUCCAGAACCGUGAUGUAAACACUGAACCCCUGUCUGAGAUGAUAGAAGCUAGAAUGCCAUGCAGCCGGAAAAUCUCCUUGAUAUAAAUCCUUGCUAACCGCUCCCUGAGUAAGAAACGCACACUGGAAUGAAAUGAGCGGACUUGGUCAUCCAAUCCACAACAACCCAAAUAAUCAAACUUCCUCGCUUUCAGAGGGAGACUAGUCAAAAAAUCCAUAGUGAUAUUCUCCCAUUUCCACUCCAGAAUCUCCAUCUGCUAGAGUAACCCUCCCGGUAUCUGAUGCUCAGGCUUCACCUACUGAUAGUUGAGACAUCUAGCUACAAAAUCUACUAUGUCCUUCUUCAUCUGCCUCUACCAAUAAUGCUGCCUCAGAUCCUGAUACAUCUCUGGUGCUCAGCCUUCACCUGCUGACAAUUGAGACAUCUAGCUACAAACUCUAGAAUGUCCUUUUUCAUCUGCCUACACCAAUAAUGUUGCCUCAGAUCCUGAUACAUCUUCGCGGCACCCGGGUGGAUGGAAUACCGCGAGCUAUGGGGCUCAGUCAAUAUCAACUCCCGAAUAUCAUCAACAUGAGGCACACAAAUCCACCUCUGCAUCCUCAACACCCCAUCAUCUCCAAUAUUCACAUCCUUAGCAUCGCCAUGCUGAGUGGUGUCUCUGAGGACUAGCAAAUGAGGGUCAUCAUAUUGCCGCUCCCUGAUACUGUCAAAUAAUGAAGACCGAGAAACCACACAGGCUAGAACCCGACUGGGCUCCGAAAGGUCCAACCUCACGAACUAACUGGCUAAGGCUUGGACAUCCAUCACCAUAGGUCUCUGUGAAGCUGGUAAAUAUGCCAAACUCCCCAAACUCUCUGACGGCGGCUCAAGGCAUCGGCAAUCACAUUAGCCUUGCUCGGGUGAUAAAGAAUAGUAAUAUCAUAAUCCUUCAGUAGCUCCAACAACCUCCCAUGGUGCAAGUUCAGAUCCUUUUGCUUGAACAAAUGCUGUAGACUCUAAUGAUCCGUAUAAAUCUCACAAAGCACACCAUACAAAUAAUGACGCCAGAUCUUUAUGGCAUGAAUAAUAGCAGCUAACUCAAGGUCAUGGACAUGAUAGUUCUUUCCAUGCACCUUCAACUGUCUGGACGUGUAGGCAAUCACCCUACCGCCCUGCAUCAAUACAGCCCCAAGUCCAACUCGUGAGGCAUCGAAAUAUACCGUAUAAGACCCCAAACCAGUAGGCAAAAUCAGAAUAGGGGCUGAAGUCAAAGCCGUCUUAAGCUUGUGGAAGCUCGCCUCACACUUGUCCGACCACUGAAAAGGAUCACCCUUCUAGGUUAUCUAGUCAUAGGGCUACAAUCGACGAGAACCCCUCCAUAAAACAACGGUAAUAACCCGCCAGGCCAAGUAAACUGCGGAUCUCUGUAGCUGAGGAGGGCCUGGGCCAACUCUGCACAACCUCCACUUUCUUCGGAUCUACCCGAAUGCCUUCACUCGAUACCAUGUGGCCUAGAAAUGCCACGGAACUCAACCAAAACUCACAUUUUGAGAACUUUGCAUAUAAUUUCUUUUCUCCCAGGGUCUAAAGCACUAUCCCCAGGUGCUUCUCAUGAUCUUCCUGGCUCCGAGAGUGUACAAGAAUAUCGUCUAUGAAAACAACGACAAAUGAGUCGAGAUAGGGCCUGAAUACACUGUGCAUCAAAUGAAUAAAAGCUACUGGGACAUUGGUCAGCCCAAAUGACAUGUCAAGGAACUCGUAAUGACCAUAUCGAGUCCUGAAAGUAGUCUUCGGGAUAUCCGGCUCCCGAAUCUGUACCUGGUGAUAACUUGAGCGCAAAUCAACCAUGGAAAACACCUGUGCGCCCUGAAGCUGGUAAAAUAGAUCAUCAUUACGAGUCAAAGGAUACCGGUUCUUCACUGUAACUUUAUUCAACUGACAAUAAUCGAUACACAUGCGCAUAGAACCAUCCUUUUUCUUUACAAACAAGACANNNNNNNNNNNNNNNNNNNNNNNNNNNNNNNNNNNNNNNNNNNNNNNNNNNNNNNNNNNNNNNNNNNNNNNNNNNNNNNNNNNNNNNNNNNNNNNNNNNNUGACAAUAAUCGAUACACAUGCGCAUAGAACCAUCCUUUUUCUUUACAAAUAAGACAGAAGCACCCCAUGGUAAGACACUGGGUCGAAUAAAACCCUUAUCAAGCAAUUCCUGUAACAGAUCCUUCAACUCCUUCAAAUUAGUAGGAGCCAUACGGCAAGGAGGAACAUAUAUGGGCUGAGUGUCUGGCAACAAAUCAAUACCAAAAUCAAUGUACAGAUCGGGAGGCAUGCCCUGAAGAUCAGUUGGAAACACAUCGGGGAACUCCGUACUACCAGAACAGAGUCAACAGUAGGGUAUCAGCACUGACAUCUCUCACAUUGGCUAAAUAUGCAUCACACCCCUUCUCAACCAUACGCUUAGCUUUAAGAAAAGAUAUAACUCUACUGGGGGUGUGGACAAAAGUACCACUCCACUCAAUACGAACCUGGCAUAGCCAACGUCAUGGUUCAUAGCGUGACAAUCAAGAGUAGCAUACUGGGGCGACAACCAGUCCAUGGCCAAGAUAAUAUCGAAAUCCACAAUAUCAAGUAAUAAAAAAUCUGCCCUGGUCUCAAAAUCGCGAAUAGUAACCAAACAUGACCGAUACACACAGUCCACAAUAAGUGGAUCUCCCACGGGAGUAGAAAUAUAGACAGGAGAGCUCAAGGUCUCUCGGGAUAUAUCCAAAUGUGGAGCAAAAUAAGAUGACACAUAAGAAUAAGUAGAACAUGGAUCGAAUAGAACCUAUGCCUCUCUGUGACUAACAAUAAUAAUACCUAUGAUAACAGAAUCAGAGGCGAUAGCCUCAGCAUGAUCAGGAAUAGCAUAAAAUUUUGCCCGACCCCUACCUCGAGGGUGACCUCUGUCUCCCCGAUCCCCACCCUUUGCUGGCUGGGCAGGUGGGGUGGCAGCUGGAGCUGGAACAAUGGCUUGAGAUACCCGCUGGGUGCGCUACUGCUGAGGCUGCUAUGGAGGUGCACUCCUCCCUAGCCUAGGGCAAUCCCUCACGACAUGGCGAGUAUCACCGCACUCAUAACAAGCUCUAGGAGGGCGCUGUGGCUGUGAGUGACUGGACCCACCCCUGCUAGACUGUCCUCUAGAAAAAACCUGUGCAGGAGGCGCACUAGAAACGGGGGGUGCAUAAUAAGGCUCCUGAGAUCUGGGAGGAGCUGGAGUACUGCUGGGUAAAGGAAGAGCUGAGUGAACUGGGCAACCCGUAUAUCCCCUAUAUCGUCCUGCUCCUAAAGUACAAGUACGAGAAAAAUAACCAGACUCUCGAGACCUCUUCGCCUCUCUCUCCUCUCGCUCCCUGGCAUGCAUACCCUCUAUCCGCCUUGCUAUACUCACCACCUACUGAUAGGGCAAAUCCAUAUUCAACUCUCGCGCCAUGCCAGACCUGAUGGAAGGAAUGAGACCCUCGAUAAACCUGCGAACCCUACCCUCUAUCCUCCUGGCUAUACUCACCACCUGCUGAUAGGGUAUAUCCAUCUCCAACUCUCGCGGCAUGGCAGACUUGAUGGAAGGAAUGAGACCCUCGAUAAACCUACGAACCCUCUCAUGAAUAGUAGCCACCAAAGAAGGCGCAUGCUUAGCCAACCUAGUGUAACGGAUGGCAUACUCAGGGACAGUCAUAGGGCCCUAACGCAAGUGCUCAAACUCCGUGUGCCAUGCAUCUUUGAGGAUUCGGGGAACAAACUCCCUCUGAAACAUAUCUGAACCGCUCCAAUCUACGCCGUUCAUCCUCCGAAGCAGGUGUCCCAUCCUCGAGCUGAACUGGUACUGUAGGCUGGGCAGGAAUAACAUCUCAAAUCUGUCCCAUAUGCACCCUCUGCUCCGGGCUGCGGGAGUCUGGGCUCCUCCUUCGACCUGGAACAUAGCUGCAGGAAGUGGAAGUAACCUUGCCUGCGACAGAGUGGUAUACAUACUCAUAAACUACGCUAAUGCCUCUUGAACAACUGGAGUAGUGGUGGCUGUGGGCGUCUCUGGUGCCUGAGUCUUGACUAGGUCUGCUGGUGGCACCUCGCAAGCUGCUCGCGUAGGUGCCCUGGCUGCACCCCGCGCACGUCCACGACCCCUGCCCCGGCCCCUGCCUCUAGCGGCUACAGGAGGGGGUGCGGGUGCCUGAUCGUUUCGUGUCAUGCGUGUCCUCACCAUUCGUGAGAGAAUAGGAAAUAAUAGUUUAUAAUCGAGGUAAAAAUAUAGCACGACAAGAAUUCAAAUGAAGUGAAGAUUUUCUUAAACAGUUACAUAGUCUCCCGUAGAUAAGUAUAGACGUCUCCGUACCGAUCAGCGAGACUCUAAAUAAUCGGCAUGUGUCCCGUGACUCCUAUGAACCUAGAGAGAUACCAACUUGUCACGACCCUAGUUCACCAAUCGUGAACGUGUCAUGACGGCACCCAGUCUUCGCGACUAGGUAAGCCCGGUACAUUGCGGAAAUCCAGCAAAUUUUAUGAAUAAGAUAAAUAAUAUUGAAUAGCAUAAGCAAACGUAUAAAAUGUCGCCUGGCCCAUACAUGUCGACUCAAAUAAUGUCAGAAAACCUCCAAGACCCGGAAACCCACGGGCAACACAGGCUAAGAGUAAACAUCUUACAAUGCUCUAACAUCCCUAGGUGUAUAUAACAACUGAGUAUAUGAAAGAAACUAUUGAUUAAAGAUAGAGUAGAAGAAGGCUCUUCGACUGUGCAAACGUGGCAGAUGCAUACCUCAAGCCUCCAAACGUAGCUUCGAAAUCCCUAAUAGUGCGCUUGACCAGAUGUACCUGGAUCUGCACAACAAAAGUGUGCAGAAGAGUAGCAUGAGUACACCACGGCGGUACUCAGUAAGUGUCAAGCCUAACCUCGAUUGGGUAAUAACGAGGAAAGUUUCGGGCCCUACUGAGAUACAAUAUGAUAAAUAACAAGAUGAGGAAAGAACAAUAUAGAUAAAACGUACACCGAAAAUCUAUCAAGCCUAACCUCGAUGAAGUAGUAACGAGGAAGGUCAAGGCCCCUACUGAGGUAAACGUAAGAAUAAAUAUGAAAUGAAAUAACAAUAGAAAAUACAUAAAUCACGAAUAUCUAACAAACAAUAAGAAGAAUGGAAUAGACUACAUUACAAUUCUACCAAAUAAGAACAACCAUUACAGGCUAUUAAUCAUCAGGGAUCUCCAAGUAUCCCGAGGAUCUCCCAGUAUCCUCAUCAUAUAUGCAAGGAUCUCCAAGUAUCCCGAGGAUCUCCCAGUAUCCUCAUCACAUAUGCAAAGGAUCUCCAAGUAUCCUCUAGUUAAUUAGUCCUGCCCUGGGGAUCUCUUAGUAUCUGCCAGAAAAUCAAUUCUGCACUGGGGAUCUCUUCGUAUCCGCCAGUCAUAUAAUCCAGUGUCGGGGAUCUCUUGGUAUCCCGCACUCCCAAACCUAAAAAAAAUCCGAACAGGGGGAGUUUUCGGGAUGCUGUCCCGUAGUCCCAAUAGUAAAUACACUACAACAAAUCAAUAUUUAAUGUCAACGAAGCGAAAUGUGAAUAACAAAUAAAAUCGAGAAUCUAACAUGCUUCACAAGAAGGACAAUUAUUACAAUUUAAAUCAAAUAAGGUAAAAAAAGUUGCUAACAUGCUUUCCAAGAGAAGACAGAUAUUACAAUUUAGUCAAAUAGAUCAAAUAANNNNNNNNNNNNNNNNNNNNNNNNNNNNNNNNNNNNNNNNNNNNNNNNNNNNNNNNNNNNNNNNNNNNNNNNNNNNNNNNNNNNNNNNNNNNNNNNNNNNNNNNNNNNNNNNNNNNNNNNNNNNNNNNNNNNNNNNNNNNNNNNNNNNNNNNNNNNNNNNNNNNNNNNNNNNNNNNNNNNNNNNNNNAUUCAACAACUAGCACAAGUACACGCCUGUCACCUCGCGCACAAGGCAUUUAAACAAUGGCAAGGAUAUCCAAAGGGGAAGGUUCCCCUACACAAAGUUAGGCAAGCCACUUACCUCGAAUUGGUAAAAACCGCCAAGAAACAAUGCCCUUGCCACGAGUAUCCGACUCCGAGUGGCCCAAAUCUAUUCAAACCAAUUACAUAUUUUAAAUAGCAUCGCAAGUAACUAAUUACACUGUUAAAAUUAAAGCUAAGGCGUAAAAUAGGUGAAAUGACCAAAUUGCCCCUCUGGCCAACGUCUUUGAAUAAAAUAAUAAAUAGCAUCGCAAGCAACUGAUUACACUGUUAAAAUUAAAGCUAAGGUGCAAAAAUAAGUAGAAUGACCAAAAUUCCCCUCUGGACAACGUCUCAGAAUCAAAUAAUUUUUACAUUUUUAGAAAUCUCGUACUCUCACGAGUUUAACCAUAUAAAAAUCUCCCAAAUCGGAGGUCAAAUGCUCCCUCAAAUCCCCAUUGUUUAGUCAAAGAACUUCUACUCAAUUCCUCCAUUUUUGGACCUCAAUUUGAAUUUAAAAGAUGAAUUUAACAACUAAAUGAUUGGUUAAAGAUAGAAAGGAUCAUAGAACAUUUAUCCAAUAAUCUCUUCUUCAAAACUCACUCGAAAUCGCCUUGUUCCAAGCUCUCAAUUGAUUUAUAACAUAUGAAAUUUAAGCCUCGGAUAAACCCUUUUCUCUACUGUGAUUUCCUCUUUUGUGGAUCCAGGAACCGCUUCUGCGGUCCCCCUUUCGCGGUCAAAUAGUCGCUUAACCGGUUUCACUUAAAAUAUCGGUUUUUGCUUCCGCGGACAUAUAUUGCGAAGGCGACCCCCGCUUCCACGGAAAGGUCUACCGCUUCUGCAAUCUCCUAACCCAGGGCCCUUUCCGCUUUUGCGACCUCUGAGCCGCUUUUGCGGCGCCGCUUCUGCGAUCUCCAAGCCGCAGAAGCGGAAACAACAGAAGCAGCACAUGAAUUUCAUCCAAAAAUUCCAAAACCAACCCGUCGAGCAUCCGAAACACACCCGAGGCCCCCGAGACCUCAACCAAACCUACAAACCUAUCCCUUAACAUCAUUCAAACUUUUACCAAUACUUAAACUACCUAAAACAAUGCCAGAAACACAAUUUAAUCAAUGAUUUGAACUUAAAAUUUCCAAAACUUAACCAAACUUUCAUUCGACUAAAAACACAACCAAAACAUGUCCGAUUGAGCUAAAAAUUUUCACGCACAUCCCAAAUAACAUGACGGUACUCAAAAACUUCUGAAAUCCCAUUCUGACCCUUGGAUAAAAAAUUCACUGUCGAACCGGAAACUUCAAAAUUCUAACUUUCGACAUUUCUAGCCUAAAUGAGCUACGGACAUCCAAAAUGCAUUCCGGACACGCUUCCAACCCUGAAAUCACCUAACAGAGCCAACAGAGCCAUCGAAUUUCCAUUCCGAGGUCAUCUUCACACUGUUCUGAAUACAGACCAUUUUCCAACACAUAAGCUCUCAUUUAGGGACUAAGUGUCCCAAAACACUCCGAAUUCUAUUACCGAACAUACCGGCAAACCAAAAUAGCAGAAAUGAACUUAGGGGAAACAUUUAAUGGGGAAGCGGGGCAUAAAUUCCAAAGACGAAUGGCCGGGUCGUCACAAUAAGCUUGCCCUUAUUUUAAUUCAUCGCAUGUUCAAGAACAUUCGAUUGGAGGUCCCAUAAGGACUUUUUAUGCUUGUAAUGUAGGCAUCGCCUAUUCAAGAACAUUCGAUUGGAGGUCCCAUAAGGACUUUUUAUGCUUGUAAUGUCCCAUUAGAACAUUCGAUGAGACAACUAUUUGACAUCUCUGAAUUUCAGAAGUGGACUCAUUUGUUCACUAAUCAGAGUCCCAAGGUUUAUUGNNNNNNNNNNNNNNNNNNNNNNNNNNNNNNNNNNNNNNNNNNNNNNNNNNNNNNNNNNNNNNNNNNNNNNNNNNNNNNNNNNNNNNNNNNNNNNNNNNNNNNNGGGGGGGGGGGGGGCGUUCAUAGCUUCUAAGCAGAUUUACAGUACAAGAUGAUAACAUUUUCUUGAAGGUCAAUGGAGUAGAUUUUGGAUUGGACGAGGGUGUUCUAGGGAGUAUUUUGGGAGUGCCCACUGAAGGGCUCUCAUCUAUUGAAUGGACCUAUUCCCCUAACCUUAGAAGAGUCAUUCUGAAGUAUCAUUUUGUGCAGUAGGGGAACGGGUGCACAAGAAGGCCCUCCUUCCAGGAUAUCAACUUAUAUUUAAAAUGGUGAAUAAGGUGUUUCUUCCACGAACAGAAACAUGCUUAAUUACUUCAAAAGCAGACAUGUUCCUCAUGGAAGCUCCGGAAUGCAUACACCUUCAUCAAUAUGCCUAGUAUUUUGAUUGAAGAUAUGAAAAAGCUGGCAGACUUCAAGGACAGAAACCAUGGUUUACCUUAUGGGUUCCUACUCACAAAGGUUUUUGAAUUCUUUAAAGUCGUUUUGGGAAGAGCAUCUGUGUGAACUAGAUAACUUUCUCAAAGACAACCUUAGAGGAAUAUGAGUAUAUUGACAAGAAAGGGGGUGUUGGCAGCAAUUCCACUAUUUCGCAAUUGAUUGAUGCUUAGAAUGCUGCAAAUAAAGAAAUAAGGAGGUUGAAUGCCAGGAAUACCAUUCUUGAAGGGAAGCUUAGUCAGGCUAAGGAGGAACCUGGUUCUAGCAGUGCCAAGGCACAAAGAUUACUCGCCUGACCACUGAAAAUGCAGGCCCAAGGAAACAAGUCGAGGAGCUGAAAGAGCGGCUGAUCAAAGAGCAACUGUCUGCAAAUGCUCGAAUGGACAUUCUUCUCAGAACCCUUGCCUCCUCAUCCCUUCCUCCCCUUUCUAGUUCCCCUUAAACAUUUCCCUUCCCAGUGUCCAGUAUGAAUGAUGUUUGUCCGUCCCUAGUGUCUUUUGUUGUUCCUAUGACUGGUACUUUAAGUUGUUUUUAUGUGGAUGUUUUUGUAAUAAUGGUGUUACUACCUCUAGUCUUCUAUUUUAAAUUAAUGAACAUAUCAUCCUUUGUUAUGCAUGCAAUACUCUUGCACUAUAUUUUUAUCCAUGUUGUGUGCACACAUAUAGCAUGAGUUAACUUUAAGAUGCUUAUUUUUGCAUUUACUUGUGAAUGUUCUUUUUAUGAUGCCAAAGGGGAAAGAAAAUUGAGAGGGGGAAUAAAGUCUUUUUGCAGGAAAAUAUAGAGAUCUGGUUCUCGGGGNNNNNNNNNNNNNNNNNNNNNNNNNNNNNNNNNNNNNNNNNNNNNNNNNNNNNNNNNNNNNNNNNNNNNNNNNNNNNNNNNNNNNNNNNNNNNNNNNNNNNNNNNNNNNNNNNNNNNNNNNNNNNNNNNNNNNNNNNNNNNNNNNNNNNNNNNNNNNNNNNNNNNNNNNNNNNNNNNNNNNNNNNNNNNNNNNNNNNNNNNNNNNNNNNNNNNNNNNNNNNNNNNNNNNNNNNNNNNNNNNNNNNNNNNNNNNNNNNNNNNNNNNNNNNNNNNNNNNNNNNNNNNNNNNNNNNNNNNNNNNNNNNNNNNNNNNNNNNNNNNNNNNNNNNNNNNNNNNNNNNNNNNNNNNNNNNNNNNNNNNNNNNNNNNNNNNNNNNNNNNNNNNNNNNNNNNNNNNNNNNNNNNNNNNNNNNNNNNNNNNNNNNNNNNNNNNNNNNNNNNNNNNNNNNNNNNNNNNNNNNNNNNNNNNNNNNNNNNNNNNNNNNAGGGGGUUAUAAGUUUGUCAUCAUCAAAAAAUAAAAAAUUAUUAAAUUACAUGCUUUAUUGUAUUUUGAUGAUCUAACAAACUUUCUAAUAAGAACCAAAUUGGGAGCCUGUUGCACAUCCUCAAAGUGCUCAAGAACAAUAAGUCUCAAGUCCGGCACAAGUUCCACCAACUUGAGUCAAAGGAAAGGCAGAGGAACAGAUGAACAUCAGUUCCUCUAAUGAAAGUAUAAGUCAACUCUCUAUAGCUGUUAAAGUUGAUGCAGAGUUUCUUUGCACACACAACAGUGCAACAAUCACUUCAUGGAGCAUGUUUUGUACCGGAUAUUGCUUACAUCAUUCCAAUGACCUUACUUGUAUAUUACCAACAUGAGGCAAGGGAAAAUUGCACACUUGCAUAACCCUAAAUCAACAAGUUCUCUCUCAAGUGUGCUGCCAACUUUGAGUGACAAGGCUUCAAGAACAAAGCAACAACAGAAUGAAGGACCAGAUCCCAACACUGUGUUACUAUCUGUCCUUAGUAUUGAUGUACCUCUAUUAAUGUGAUAUACUUCUAAUUCCUACUCAACUUAGUUAGAAGAAUUCCGUAAGAAAUUAUUUGUAAAAUAAUAAACCUAGUGUUUGUGUUUUGGCUAGAGUUAGUCAAAGUGUGAGCUUUGUAAUAAAGUUAUCACAAAGAGCCUUGUAAUAGAGUUAUUACAAGCAUGUGAUGGAUUAAGAGGUUAAUUCUUAGAAUACAAUAGUUUGUAAUCUAAAGUUUGCUCAGUUAGUGAAGAUGAAAUUCUACGAGUGCAGACCGUGAUUUUUACUCCCGUAAGCUGGAAAUUUUCCACAUAAGACUCUACUGUAUCUUUUACUUACUGUUGUGUGUGUAUUCUGUGAGAAUUAAUAGAGAACCAGUUUCUUUAAACAAUUUAGUAGAUCCUUAAUUUCUCUCAAAAUAUAUGUAAUAGUUUUAAAAAUAGAAGUAUAUUUGUAGUAACUAUUUUUAUUGUCUCUCUUAAAAAUUACAAACACUUCGCGAAGUGAAAAGUAAAGAUAAAUGUGAAGACAUAUACAUGAUUUAUUCUUUUCAAACUGUCGUAUGCUCUAAAACAAAUUUACUUUAUCAAGACAAUUAUAUUUGGAAGAAAAAGUGUGAUUAUCGGUCAUAUCUACGACGAUAUAUAGAGAAUCUUGAAGGAACUUAUUUUUAAAAAAAAGUCACUAUACAUCUUUGUCAUCUAGUUUUACGAUAUAAUUUGGAAAUAAUAUGGGCUGUCAAACCAAACAAUUUAACCUUUUAUAUAGCAGUUAAAAGAUAAAUAUAUAUUACUCACCCUUUAUUAAGUGAUAAACGAGAAAUAAAUAUCUUUCAUUCAGUGGUUUGGCGUAAACGCCGAAUAUCAGCAUGUUUUUACCAAUAAAAAGUACGUACACUAUAUUGAAAAAAAAAAUGAAUAGGUUAUAUCCACCGUCAUUGUAAGAAAACUUUACACUAUAAAAUCAUCCAAAGGAUAUCUAAAGAUAAAUUUCCUUAAGAUGUGAAAUAAUUUUCUUGAACAACAACAUAUCCAGUGUUAUCUCAUAAGUGGGAUCUUGAGAGAGUUAUCUGUACGUCGACCUUAUCCCUGAGAAGUUUUCGAUAGACACUCAACUCAAAGAAAUAAGAAAAAAGAAGCAGUAACAACAAGCAAUAACACCAGCAUUUGCAAUAAAAAUAUUGAAGCAAAGAAAUAACAAGUAGUAAUAGAAUACUAUGAAUAAAUAAAUACAAGACUAACACUAAUACUACUGCUAUGAACAAGAAAAAUGCUCGACUACCUAAUCUUCUAUCAUAAUUUCCGAUCUAUACACCCUUCUAUCAAUAGUCAUGAACACCAUUUAUCUUAUACAAUAGGGAAAUGUGACUUAAUGGUGUAAAACUUUAUUAUACUAAUAGUGCAUAUAACAUAAAAACAUAAAAUCGGAGCCAACUCUAAGAAUUACUAUACCUUGUCUUUUGACAACUCCAGCAGAUGCGAUAUUUAUUGUUCUAGUGAGAGAGCCUCCUCCUUCUCACUAAAAACGUAUCAACUGCAUAUUCAUGAAACCAUCAAAGAUCUCUAAACCACCCGAUAUUGAUCCAAUAUAUUCCACAGUAACUACUACUCUUUCCAAUUCUAGUUUCAAAGACAAACUAAUCAAUGGAUUACAAGAUGAUCAUAUUAACAUGAUCAUCGAUUCACAUAACCAAUCUCAUCCAAACCGUCCGGAUGAUAUGGGGAAUUUUAUUUCCCACUCAAAUGGUGAUCACCUAAUUCAACUAUCUCUAGAAGAUCUUUAAAGAAUUUACUCCCCCUGGAGGUUCUCAACAAUUAUAAAACUACAAGGAAUGAGGAUUCAACACCAGUUACUCAAACGAAAUAUUCAAGACUUGUGAAAAUUAAAGGAAAACUUCCCACUGAUCGAUCUAGGCUUAGAUUAUUAUAUUACAAAAUUUAGCAAUGAAGAUAGAAUGCUCAAAGUCCUCCACAAUGGCCUUUGGUUCAUCUUUGGUCACUUCCUAUCCCUUCAAAAUGGGUGCCUAAUUUUAUUACCUCAAAAGCUAAAAUAACACAAGCCACUAUAUGGAUACGCUUAUCACAAUUGCCAAAGAAAUUUUAUGACAGACUAAUACUCAAAAAAGUUUGCAACAAAAUGUGCAAGCUACUAAUGAUUGAUGCAUGUACUUCUUCCACUCUAAGGGGUUGUUAUGAUAGGCUUUACAUAGAGGUGCCAUUAGAGGUCGUAGUUACAUUAUAUUCAUUCUCAUUGGCCAACAUAAGCAGGAAAUUCAUUAUGAAGGAAUUAAUUUUCUAUGCAAAAUUUGCGGCAGAUUGGGGAAUUCAAUGGCCUCAUGCAACUACAUAAAGUAAAUGAGCAAAUCUAUGUAUCCAGAAGGAGACUGUGUCAGUAACCAAUCCAAGGCAUUGGACACUUCUAAUUCCAGCAUGCAAAUAGGAUCUCUUCUGUCCAAAGAGGAUGCCUGGCACACUCUUGCUUUCCCCAAAAAACGAAGAUCCAUUUUGUCACGACCCUAAAUUCAACCCGAUCGUGAUGGCACCUCUCGCGAAGACAAGGCCAACUGACUCACUUCCAAUUUACAUUAAGCGAUUAAAAUAAUAAUUACUAAGUCUUUAGUCAGAAAUAAAAUUCCAAAAUAAUUAAUUAACAGUAUAAUUUACAGAAAUAAAAUCCAACACAGCCUGACAUCGGGGUGUCACCAGUCAUGAGCAUCUAAAACAAUACUACCACUCUAAAAUCUACUCCACUACUAAAUAACUGAAUCAGAAAAGAAAAAACAUAGGGGUAGGUUGCACUGGGCUGCGAAUCGCCAAGCAACUACCCAUUAAACCUCCGAAGAUCUGCUAAAACUGUCAACCCUCAAUAGUAGGACCUGUAUGCUCGAAUCAACAUACAUAGGUGCAGGAAUUAAUGUGAGUACUUUCGACUCCGUUAGUAAUUAAAAUAAAUAAAGACUGAACGAUAUAAAAUCACGUUAAAUACAACAUUUAGCGAUCAGAGGCAUAACAAAAUUAGUAACACAAUUUAAAAAUGAAAUCUCAUAAGAACACCUUCUUAAAUCGUCAACAAUAGAUAGGAAAAACAACUAGGAAUGGUUAACAUAUAAGAACUGCCCAUCGGGCACAAUAACAUCAAAUUAGCCCCUCGGGCAAUAUCAUAGAACAAUACCAUCCUUCGGGCUAUAUCUCAUGUUAUAACGGGUACUCACGCUCACUAAGGGUGUGCAAAUUCCUCGAGGGCCCCCUUACGGCAUAAGCGCUAUAUCAAGCCAUCUCGUGGCGUCAUCAACAAGCUCUCAACCUCAUAUCAAUAUCAAGCCACUCGUGGCGUACAACCUCAAGCCAUCGGCCUUAUUAUCAUAAUUAGUAUAUCACUGUUGCGGCGUACAGCCCGGCCCAAAAGUAUCCUCAUAACACAGGCCCUCAACCUUACUUAGUUAGAAUCUAAUAAGCGUGUUGAAAUUGACCUUUCAUUGGCCUCUAAAGUUCAAGAAGAGAAGGGUUUAGUAUCAAAAUUUAAAAAAGAAAAAAAUACAUACAUUUCGAUGAAUAUGAACGAGAAAGUAAAUGAGAAAAAGAAAUAGUAACAAUAGAUCAUUAAAUGCGUAACAGAAAAUGUUAACCGGAAUAGGUCAAAACUUUAGCGGUAAAAGUCUUAACUCGUCUCGUCCCGUUUGUCGUCCCGUUUGUCAUCCCUAACUUAGAAUCUCUGCAUGCAUGCUAGUUAAAAUACUAGCAAGACGUUGAAGGAUCACAACAACCUUCAGACAACCUCAAAAUUUCCUCCAAAUAAUCAGCUCCUAAAUCUUCCAAAACCAACACAUUUUCAAAGUUCAUCUCUUUUUCCUUCUUCUUUUUAUUCAUAUUACUCUUACCUUUUUUCAUAGAAUGCAUUUUCUUCAGUAUCAAAACAGGUGAACAUCCUUCUUCAAAUCGACACUCCAUCUCCAUUAACGAUCGAUAAACAAUAUCCACUGGAAAAUUUAACACUCCCAUUGUCCCAUGCAACGCGAACGCGGCUUGAUCAUAAGCCAAAGCUGCUUUUUCUGCAGUGUCAAAUGUUCCAAGCCAAACCCUAACGCUAUUUCUAGUUGAAUCUCUUAUUUCCGCCGCGUAUUUUCCCCAUGGUCUCCUUCUUACACCUCUAUAAUUAGCUCCUUUGUUCUCUUUGAAGUUUGUUCCAUGUUUGUUGACAUGAAGAUUAUUAUUGGAUGAAUUUUCACCAGCUUCUGAUAGAACAUUCAGAAGAAGCAUGUCUUCAGUGUCAUUCUCAUUGAAACCAAGAUGAUUGUACUGUGAAUAAUCCAUUGUCUAAAUAGUCACUACAAAAAAAAGGAAUUAGCAACCGGACAAAUUUUGUAGCUAAAUAGAAAAAUCUGUCGCUAAUCUUUUUAGCGAUAGAUUAGCAAGAAAUUUUAUUAGCUAGAGUGAUUUACCGAAUUAGCGACGAAUUUAAGUUCACAGUUUAUUUUUAGGUAGUGUGUGUUUUGAAUUUUUGAUGUGCUAGUUGAUCAAUGCGUGUUUUUGGUUUUUUGAACUUAGGGGAAGGAUACGUUCUAUAUAUAGAGAUUGAAUAUGUGCACACGAGGGGUUUAUUACAAUAUGUGUUAAAAUAAAAGUUGAUGGAAAGAUAGUCUAAUGAUCAAAAUUUAUGUUUGAAAUUCAGUUUAUUGAGACAGUGGAGUGUGGUCUUCUUAUUAGAGUAGUAAUAGAGGCUGCAGAAAUUAACCAAAAAAUAAUUAGUGCACGUGUGGUCAACUGGUCAUAUGUUGGUCAAACACAUUUUUGGGAGUGGCGUCCAGCUCAUGAAACCAUAUAUUAAAAAAUUAAUAAUAGACUCAUGAUCUCAGCACUAAUGACUUCAUUUGGUCCAGUUUUUUCAUUUACCAUUGUUUUUCUUCGUUUGCCAUUUCUGUUAUUUUAGGAUACACGAUUGAAUUAUCAUUUCAGAAAAUGUAUUAAUCGAAUGCAGAGGUGUUUUGAUUUGACAGAGUCAUGCACAUAGUUUUUGUAGGUUUUUUUUUUUUUCGUGGAGGGGGGAGGGGAGGGGUUGUAGUCUAUAUAUAAUUGAAAAUAACCUGGAUAUUCAACCUAAAACGUUAAGACAAUAUUGCAUGGAGUAGUCUAAAACUAUUAUAAGUACUUUACAGAAAACAAGUGUAACAUUCUCAAUACUCUCUUGGAUCGGAAGAAAGAAGCCCAAAGAGAUAGAAUAUGAUCAGAAUUUCAAUGUUAAUAUAAUACGGUCUAGCGAAUUUUCAGAUUGGUUACUCAAAAUAGCCAGCAUUUACUAAGACAAUAAAAAAUAGCUACUACUUUGCUGCAAAAGAGACCGAUCCAGCAUAAUAUAUUGGAGUUGGUGCACCUGUGUAUGAACUUCCAGCAUAUUAUAUUGGACAGAUAUACUUUGCUGGCUCUAGUAUAAUAUACUGGAGACAGGAGCACCGGUGCUCCAAACUCCAGUAUAUUGUGCUGGACUGAUAUAUUACUGGAGUUCCAGUAUAAUAUAUUGAAACUCCAAUAUAUUAUGCUAGAGUAUUUUUCGGGAUUUUAAAUAGUAUUUUUGUUCAGAUUUAUCUUUACAUGAAAUAUGACUAAAUUUGAUUACGUUUAAAAUUGUAACUAUUUUUGAAUGACCACUUGUAAAUCUGGCUAUUUUUAAAUUUCUCCCAAUUUUAAUAUGUGAUUGUAAUACGUAGAUUAAAUAUUAGCGAAGUUAUUUAGUAAAUUACUUUUAAUGGUAGAUAUUUAACGGAAAAAGGGCCUGAUAUAUCCCUCUACUAUGAAAUAUUGUUCAAUAUCGUCCCCCGUUAUACUUUCCGUCCAUAAAACCCCUUGCCGUCGAGCAAAGGUUUAUAUAUGCCCUUAUUUAAAUGGCAGUGACUAACGUGUCACGACCUGAGAGGACAAAAAGACCACUACUCUAAUUACACCUUACCCGCCCCAAUUUCAAUGACCCGCCCACCUAUUAACCAUACAAAAUCAGUAAAACACUAAAAUGACCGUAAAUAUCACAUUAACAAAAGAUCAAAACUCUGAAAAAGGAACGAUGAACGGGAUAGGUUCUAGCUGGGUUUCCAUCAGUGAUAAAAUUGCGAAUCUGAGACUCAAAAAGGUGAGUUAUUUCUUACAAAAUAUCAUGAUUCAACUAAGUAAAGUUGUGUUUCUGCUGAAGAACAUGCAAUUUCUACCUAAUGUUUUUGAGCUAGGGUUUUUUUCCAGGUAAAGGUGUAUAUUUCUAUUAUUAUACAUGCUUCCUACUAUGUAGUUUACCGAUUUAAUGUUAUUUUGACGUGCAUGUACAUCUUUUGAGGUGGUCCUUUAAUUUCUGAUUUUUGAUGGUGUAUAAUUGCUUUGAGUUGUGUCUUUCUGCUCGUGUAUGAUCGAAUGGAGUCCGAAUAUCCCUUAUGCGUGUGCUUAAGUACAUUGGAAAGUGAUAGCUAUGCAUUCUUUAUUAUAAUGUUCUGCAUUCUGUACUAUUUUUUCCCCAAUGUUCUGCUUUCUUUACUAAAUUUUUCCCAUUCUUUAUUGUUUGGUUUCUGAUUUCUUUAUUAAGUGGGUUCCAUUUUUUUAUAAAGUAUUCCUUUAUGGUCAUAAAGUUUUUUACAUUGUCUUAUUUAUGUUUGUAGAUGGUUCUUGUUGACCUAGUUUUCAAUUAUGGGGGUGGCUGGAUUAAAGAGGCAUACCUAGUCUAUUCAAAAAAGAUGGUCCACAUCUGGAAAGAUAUGGAUUCUGAUCUAUUAUCCUUUAAAGAUAUAGUAGAUGAAUACACUCUUUAGUUUGGGUAUAUAGGGGUACAACAAAUAAUAAUUGCUGGUUAUGGGGGUGACUGGAUUAAAGAGCCACACCUAGUAUAUUCAAAGAAGUUGGUCCACAUCUAGAAAGAUAAGGAUUCUGACCUAUUGUCCUUUAAAGAUAUAGUAGAUGAAUACAUUCUUCAGUUUGGCUAUAUAAGGGUACAACAAUGAAUAAUUUUUGGCCCAUCUGGUAAGUAUUAUAAAGUUGAAGGAGAUAUAGGGAUUAGAAAUAUUUUAUGCCUUGUCAUGUGAUGAAUUUAAGGUACUAAAUGUCUAUGUUGUAGAUGAGUGUGAAGAAAGCGUUUGUGUCCCAAACAUUGUCAACCAUACUGAGGCUUAUAUAUCUCAAGUAUUAGUUGGUAGUGAUGAUAGUAGUAGUGAAGAUGAAGAUGAAGAUAAAGAUCAGGCAUGUUUUGAUGGCCUGGCAUAUAAUUCUGAAGAGUUAGAACAAUUUGAGGCUAAAGAAAUGUGCAUCCUAGUGAUAACCUUAAUUAAUACAAAGAGAUUUAUAAAGGCAUGUCUUUCAAGGACAUUCCUGAAGCUAGAAAGUUCAUGAAACUUUAUUCAUUGGUUAAUCAAAUGAAGUUAAAACUGGUUAAAAGUGAUAGACAAAGGGUGAGGUAUAAGUGUGUAGGGCGCUGCCCAUUUAAAUGUUUUAUUUCCAUUGGAAAAGGGGAGGGGGGGGGGGGUAGAGUGAAACACUAAAUCUAAGACAUGACUGUAAUCCUGCUUUUGAGAACAGUAGGGUUGAAUAUAGCACUAUAGCUUACUAUUUCAAGAAGAAGUUGCAAGACAACCCUAAGUAUAUGGUGAAAGAAAUGAGGGCAAACCUGAAGAAUUUAUUUCAACUUAAUGCUAGCAAAUAUAUGGUUAAAAGGGCAAAGAGAAUGAUAUUGGAGAAGUUGGAGGGGGGUUUCACUGAUGACUAUAACAAGCUUGAAGCAUAUGCCAAUGCUUUAAGGGAUAGUAAUCCUAGAAGUGAUGUGGUUAUUAAUUUAUCUAAAGAAUCAUUGUUGCAAUGAAAAAGGAAAUUCCAUAGGAUGUACAUUUGUUUUCGUGCAUUGAAGAUGGGGUACAAAAAGGGCUUGGGACCAUUUAUUGGGCUUGAUGGUACAUUCUUAAAGGGGAAGGCUAAAGGACAGCUACUAGUUUGGCCAAGAUAACAUGAAUCACAUUUAUCCAAUUGCUUGGGCUGUAGUUGAUAAGGAAACAAAAAUAUCUUGGACUUGGUUUCUGGAGCUUCUUCAGAGUUCAUUGGACUUGAAUAUGGGCAAUGGAGUCACAUUUAUGUCAGAUAUGCAGAAGGUAUAACUGUUUCUUUACUCUCUUUUCUUCAUAACUCUUUACUGUUUUUCACUAACUUUUUUAUAUGUACAGGGAAUAAUGGAGGCAAUAAAGACAGUACUUAAAGCAAAGCAUAGGUUAUGUGUGAGACAUGUAGAGUCAAACUGGUGCAAAAAGUAUAGAUGUCUUGAAAUGAAGAAAUUACUUUGGUGGAGUGCUUGGGCCACUUAUGAAGAAGACUUCAAGGAUCAGUUGAGCAAGUUGGGAGAGUUGAAAGAAGCAGUUGUUACAGACCUGUUAAAGUACCCACCCCAGAGUUGGUGUAAGGCAUACUUUGACAUUGUUUGUAAAAAUUAAGGUGUGGAUAACAAUUUUAUAGAAUCUUUCAAUUCUUGGAUAUUAGAAGCUAGAUACAAGCCCAUCAUCAAGAUACUGGAUGAUAUAAGACUCAAAGUAAUGAAUCAGUUGAGAAAGAAUGAAGAUGAGGUGAGAACAUGAAAGACAGAAUAUAGUCCUCAUUGUAUGAAGCUUUAUCUGACUAUCUGAUGAUAGCUCAUUCCAUUGAGGUUGAUUUAAAUGGUGAUGACGGAUUUGAAAUAGUAGAAGGGAUUGACAAACAGUAGAGUGGAGUCAGUCUAGAAAAGGCAAAAUUAUGACUUGUGGCAAUUGUGGAGAGGCAUAUCUUAAUUCAAGGGGAUGUAAAAACGUAUACACCCAAUACUUAGUAAUAUACAUAAUCUACUCCAACUAUUUCUUUUAACAUUAUACUUAAUUGAUAUUAACUAUUUGUUUUUUAUAUUAAAUAGACAAUGACUGCGCAGAAAGAGACAAAGAAGAAUCAGCUAGCCAAACGACAAAGGACUUUGGUUAAUGAAGACACUGAUGAUGAUGAGAUAUUUGCAUAUAUCAAUUUAUCAGCACCCCAAGUGUCCCAAACAAGUGAAGGCAUUGGCAGCAGUCAGUCAUUUGUCUUUAUGCCUACCCCAACUUUGGAUGCUUUUUCUGAGUUUGAUGAUGGACCUGAACCUCCAUUAAGGCCUAGUAUUAUAUCAGAAUCACAAACUAGACUUGUGGCAAGGCAGAAAGUUGGUAUGAACACUGGGACAAGGAUAAUCAAGUUUACAUGAGAUAACACAGGUGUAAAUGAACUUGCUGAUCUUCCAUAUUCCCCAGUAAACUUGACAUGGAAGGGAAAUGCAGCAAUCACUGGGAAUCAAUUAGAGAUGCAAACAAGACAAAGAGUUGGGAAGUUGAAGACAAGAAAGGGGCCUUGAUAAUCUAAUUAGGACUUGUUUUGUUAGCUACUAGCUAAAGUGAAACAUAAACAUAUUGUUUAUUUUUGUUGGCAUUUGGAGUUGGAUGCCUUGUUAUUACUAAGAUUGAGUGAGUUUUUUAAGUUAUAGCUAUGGCAUCCAAUUCUAUAAUUUGAUGUAAUAGGCAGAAUUAUGACUUGUUUAAUUACUGUUACUGCCCAGUUUGAAUUACUGUUACUGUCCGAGUUUUUUUUGCAUUACUGUCCAGUUAUUUACUGCCCAGAUUUUUGCAUUACUGUCCAUAUUUUUGCUGCCCAGAUUUUUGGCCUUGUUAUUGCCUUGUUGCUGCAGUUUUAUAGCCUUGUGACUAUUGUACUGUCCAGUUUUUUUACUGUUGUCUAGAUUUUUGGCCUUCUUGCUACCUUGUUGCUGCAGUUUUAUAGCAUUAUAUUGGUGUAAUGCUAUCCUUAGCAACUUAUUGGUAUACUACAAGUGAAAAUAUGUUACUAGUUUCACCAACAGAUUAAGUUGGCCAAGAUAACAUGAGUCAGUAAUGUGAGUGCAGUGAGAACCAUUCUAUUGACAAGGCCAAGACAAUGCCAAAGUCAUAAUCAAAGUCAUAGAACCAUUCACUAAGUAGACAACAUUCCAAUAGUCAUAAACAACAUUCCAAUAGUGACGAAGUAGAAAAUUCAGAAUUAUCAUUGAUGGAGCAAUGUCAUUACAAUACAAAAUACAACCAUUAAACAUCUAAUACAAACUCCCAACAAGUUCAACAUUUCAAUAUUCAACUGUAAAUACAACAUUCCCCUUCUACAAACUACUUUCAACAUAAUUUCACUUCAUUAUAUAUGAGAAUGCAAAUCCAACUAUUAGCGAGCAUAAAAUUGUGAUGAUCAUCUUCAACUUGACCACGUUUGCUUUCAAUUCCAUAUUUUUUUUUAACUUCAAAAUUCUUCAUAGAAUCUAUGAGUUCAAUCUUUUCGGUCAACCCGUCUCUUUUAACCUUAUGAGCUUCCAACGACAUUCAACAUCUUAAUCUCGCGAUUUGCAGCUUCUAAUCUUACAUUGUUAAUUACAAUUAAAGCAGCAUAAGGAUACUCUUCAUCAUGCCAUUCCCAAAAACCACAUCCUUCAGUCUACACAAACCACAAGAAAACCAAUUCAAAAUAGAGAGUUUUAGGAUAUUUGUAAAUUGAAAUAGAGAAAAUAAAACUACCUCAGGUUUAGGACAUUUGUAAAAUCUUCUACCAGGGUUUAAGAGAGUUUUUGAAGUAAAGUGAUUAGCAAUUUUACCACAUCGGCAGAUCCUCUUCGACGAUAUUUUCCGACAAUGUACACACUUUCUGACCAGCUGAAUAAUUAGCAAUUAGAGAGACGAAAAAGUCCCAGAAUUUUGAUGUUUUGAUCGUGGAAUAAAAUAAUUUUACUAUUUGUUUUGGCCAUUAUGAUCCCUUAUUCCAUUAACUAAACGAUCAGUUUUAAUUUGCCAAUGAAGAGAAAUAACGGACCAAUAAUCUUUGAAAAUAGAUCGAUGAUUAUAUUGUGUUUGAGAUGUAUGAUAUGUAAAGAAUACUACUAGUACUACUACUAGCUAACCAUUGUAUAGUUAACUUAAGUUAGUUAGACUAAACCAUAGUUAGUAGUUAGUUAGAUUCAUUAGUUGUAUCUAGGCAGUGGGUCUACACUUGUAAGAGUUGAGUUGUUCAUUUCAAUAACAGUGCCAUUUUCACUGUUUCAUUGCUUCCUCCUCUUUUCUCUCUACAAUGGUAGUCAUUUUUUCUACUCAAUCCCGCAAAAUUGAGUGAAGUUUACAUGGUAUCAGAGCAUCUAACGACUGAAUUGAGGAAUCUAUCACGAGAUAUACAGUGAAGAUCGAGGAAUCUCAGUCCUUGCAUGUUUAGAUUUUGCCAAUUGUAGAAGAUCAAUUGUAACCCUAAGUUGAUGAAAUGGCGAUUAAUGAUUCAAUUGCAGAUGGAGCAACUAAUUCAGCUACAGACAGAGCAACUAAUCGAGUGAUUUCUAUGGUUCAAACACUCGAUUACACGCAUCAGCUUUACUCGAAAACUAUACGAUAUGGAGUCGUGCAAUGAAAGUCGCACUUUUAGGAAGAAAUAAACUAGAUUUUGUGGAUGGAUCUUUUGUGAAGAAUUUUUUUUAAGGAGACUUGCAAAAGAGUGGGAAAGGUGUACUACAAUUGUUGUUUCGUUGUUAAUGAGCAAUGUGAGUGCAGAUCUGCUUAGUGGAAUCCUGUUUCGUUCUGAUGGUUUGUUGGUUUGGAAGGAUCUCAAGGAUAGAUUCGACAAGGUAAACACUUCUAGAGCAUAUCAUUUGCAUAAAGCAAUUGCUACUAUAACAUAGGGAGUUUCCUCUGUUUCUGUAUACUAUUCCAAAUUGAAAGAUAUCUGGGAUGAACAUGAUUCUAUAGUUCCUCCUCCCUGUUAUGAGAGUGAACAAUCUAGGGAACAUACUCAGUAUUUGGAGCGUCAAAAGUUGUUUCAUUUUUUGAUGGGACUAAAUGAUGGAUAUAGUCAGGCUAGGUCUCAUAUUUUGAUGAUGAACCCUGAGCCUAAUGUAAAUCAGGCUUAUGCAAUGGUAAUACAAGAUGAAAGUCAGAAAAUGUUGACAGGAGGACAUUGUGCAAUGACAUAGAAGAUUGAGCCAACUGCUCUCUAUGGUAGUAAAAGAAUAGGGCAGCAGUAUCAAAGAAGUAUAACUCAUACUAUAAUUUUUGUACUAUGAAGGGGCAUACUAGAGCUGAAUGCUUCAAGUUGAUGAAAUGUGAUUAUUGUAGAAGAAAGGGUCAUCUCAAGGAGAAUUGUUACAAGCUUUCAAUGACAGAGAAGAUUGAGCCAACUGCUCUCUAUGGUAGUAAAGGAACAGGACAGCAAUAUCAAAAGAAGUAUAACUCACACUGUGAUUUUUGUAAUAUGAAGGGGCAUACUAGAGCUGAAUGCUUCAAGUUGAUGAAAUGUGACUAUUGCCAAAGAAAGGGUCAUCUCAAGGAGAAUUUUUACAAGCUUAAUGGUUUUCCACCAUAUUUUAAACCAAAGAGAGUGGCUAACAAUGUGAAUGGAAACCAAUACGAUGAUACAUAUGAUCAAUAGAUGGGUGCACAGAUGGCUGGGAACCAGCAGUUUUUUGCGUCUGGUUAACAGCAACAAAAGCAACAGACAGUUGUUCCACAGUUCACACCACAAGUGUUCCCUCGGGAUCAAUACAAUCAGAUUUUGCAUAUGUUAAAAAAUCCAACAUUAGUGAACCAAGUGCUCAUAUGGCAGGGGCAGGUAAUGUAACUAGAAAGAUAGAUGAUGAUGUUCUUAAAUGGAUCAUAGACACAGGUGCUACUAAUCACAUGAUUAGUGAUGAAGGUCUAAUACAAUCUAAUACUACUAUACCAGCUGAUGAUGCAGGGAAAGUGCAAUUGCCUACAGGAGAUUCAACACAAAUUUCACAGAUUGGAAAUUGUCAACUAAUUGGAGGUGACAUUAUCAAGGAUGUUCUAUGUGUGCCAGCAUUCAAGUUCAAUCUUUUGUCUGUGUCUAAACCGACAAAAGAACUGAAUUGUUGUGCUAUGUUCUUUCCUGAUUUUUGUUUGUUUUAGGAUCUUUAUACUGGGAAGGUGAAGGAGACUGGUAAGGAAUAAGAUGGAUUGUAUGUGUUGUAUUCACAAAGAAUCAGGAGUAAUGCAAAUGCCAGGAAGUCUCUAGCUGUUCAACAGAAGUCUUUAGCUGCUCAACAACAAAUAAGUGCAGAUGUUUGGCACAAGAGGAUAGGGCAUGUUCCAAUUUCAGUACUAAGGAAAGUUUCUAUUUUUAGCAAAAAUAGUUUUGCAAUAAUUCAUUGUGAUGUAUGUCCUUUAGCAAGACAGACUAGGAUUCCUUUUCCAAUAAGUCAUAACAGAGCUAAGGAUGUUUUUCAGUUGAUACACAUGGAUGUAUGGGAACCUUACAAGUCUGUUACAUUUGAUGGAAUGCAAUAUUUUCUUACUCUUGUAGAUGAUCAUGCUAGAUGAACUUGGACUUUCUUGAUGAGUGUCAAGUCUGAUGUUAUUCCUUUGCUGCAUAAUUUCAUCACUAUGAUACACAAUCAGUUUGAUAAAAGGAUUAAAGUUUUGAGGUCAGAUAAUGGAUAAAAAUUCUUUAACCACAAUUGUAGUACUCUCUUUUCAUCAUAUGGUAUUCUACAUCAAAUAUCUUGCCCAUACACUCAUCAGCAGAAUGGUGUGGUGGAGAGGAGGCACAUGCACAUUUUAGAGACUGCUAGGGCUAUAAAACGUCAAGGAUGUUUGCCUUCUAAAUUCUGGGGCAUCUGUGUGGAGGAUGCAGUUUAUAUCAUAAAUAGAAUACCAUCCACUAUGUUGCAUAACAAGUCUCCUUAUGCGAUGUUGUUUCAUAAAACACCAGCCUUGGAUCAUAUGAGGCUCAUUGGAUGCAUGUGUUAUGCUACCAGACUCCCAAAAAAAGAUAAGUUUGGUACAAGGGCCAUCAAGGUAUUAAUGAUGGGGUAUGUUGUUUAUCAGAAGGGGUAUAGAUUGUAUGACUUGGAGAAUAAUACUUUCUUCACUAGCAGAGAUGUGUUCUUUUUUUAAUCUGUUUUUCCUUUUCGAUCUUCACAGACCUUUCCAUUCCCAAUUCUUCAAUUAUGUCCAAUUUACAUCCUGCUGAUGAUAUAGUUCCUAGUGUUUCCACCUCACCUCCACAUAUCUCGCCACCAACAUUUAUAGACAAUCCAUUUCAGAUAGAGCAAUCACAUUCACCUGCAGAGAUGUCAUCAUGUUCACCUGCAAAUCAUGAUAUUGAUCUUCAAGUUGUUGUACCAAUCUCUGCCAUUGAUUCUUCCAUUGUCAAUCCUGCUGAGAGGCCCAAGAGGGCUACUAAGCCACCAAUAUGGCUUAAGGACUAUGUAGUCCUAGGAAAAGGGCCUCAAUCUUCUAACAAUUGUUUGUAUCCUAUUGCAGAUGUUGUGGCUUACAAUGGUUUAUUUGCUCAUUAUAGAGUUUCAUUUCCAAAUUCUCACUAGAAAUUGAACCUCAGUCAUAUACAGAAGUAGCCAAGGAUCCUAGGUGGAUUGAUUCUAUGAAGGCUGAAAUACACAAAACUUGGGAAGUGGUGUCAUUGACCCCUGGUAAAAGGCUAUUGGUUGUCGAUGGGUAUACAAAAUAAAAUAUAAAGCUACAGGUGCGGUUGAAAGGUUCAAAGAAAGUCUUGUGGAAAAAGGUUAUAUCCAAAAAGAGGGGUUAGAUUAUCAGGAAACAUUUUCUCCUGUAGUGAAGAUGGUGAUUGUACGAUCAGUUAUUUCAGUUGCUGCAUCUAAGAAUUGGUCCAUCAUCAAAUGGAUGUUUAAAGUGAAUUUUUGCAAGGGAAUCUUCACGAUGAAGUGUAUAUGACUUUGCCUCAAGGUUUCUCUACUGCUAGAGGAAAACAGCAGGCCUGCAGGCUGCUUAAGUCAGUUUAUUCUCAAGCAGGCCUCCAGGCAAUGGAAUAUCAAAUUGACUUCUGCUCUACUUGCUUCAGGCUUCACUCAAAUUCAUCUUGACUACUCCUUGUUUACAAGAUGCUUUGAUGGGAAAACUGUCAUUGUUUUAGUUUAUGUGGAUAAUCUUUUAUCACAGGGGAUGAUGCCACACUCAUUCAGAACACUAAGGAUACAUUGCAGAAAAACUUUAAGAUCAAAGUCUUAGGUGAACUUCGAUUCUUUUUGGGUAUUGAGUUUGCUAGAACUCAACAGGGGAUCCUAAUGCACCAAUGGAAAUAUGCAUUAGAACUGAUUUCUGAUAUGGGCUUAGCAGGUGCUAAACCUACUGCUACACCAGUGGAACUUAAUCAGAAGCUGACUACUGCUGAAUUUGAUGCAUAUCUUGGCCUGGAGGAUGAUUUGCCUCUUUCUGAUCCUGGCAGUUAUCAACGACUGAUUGGAAGACUACUUUACUUGACAGUUACUCGCCCAGAUAUUUCUUAUGUUGUUCAGAGUCUUAGUCAGUUUAUGCAUUCCCCUAAUAACUCACACAUGGAAGCUGCUACUAGGCUUGUUAGAUACAUCAAGCAACAUCCUGGGAUGGGGACUUUUAUGUCCUCCACUACAUCUUUCAAUUGCAGGCCUUUUGUGAUGCUGAUUGGGCUUCAUGCCCCUCUACUAGAAGGUCUGCUACAGGUUAUAUGGUGAAGUUAGAGGACUCUUUGAUCUCUUGGAGAUCUAAGAAACAAACCACCAUUUCUAGAAGUUCAGCUGAGGCGGAGUACAGAAGUUUGGCAUCUGUUGUUGCAGAGAUCGCGUGGCUUGUUGGUUUGUUCAAGGAGUUAGGUUUGGAGGUUCAGUUGUCUGUUCUAAUUCAUUGUGACAGCAAGUCUGCCAUUUAAAUUGCUGCUAAUCCUGUGUUUCAUGAGCGUACUAAGCACAUUGAUAUUGAUUGUCAUUUUAUUCGCGAGAAGAUUCAGCUUGGGUUGAUUCAUCCAGUCUAUGUGCAUACUACAGAACAACAGGCUGAUAUAUUGAUGAAAGGCUUGACUUCCAUGCAACAUCACUACUUGCUUUCCAAGCUAGGAAUGAAGAAUGUCUUCAUACCUCCUAGCUUGAGGGGGGGUGUAAAGAAUACUACUAGUACUACUACUAGCUAAUCGUUGUAUAGUUAACUUAAGUUAGUUAGACUAAACCAUAGUUAGUAGUUAGUUAGAUUAAUUAGUUGUAUAAAGGUAGUGGAUCUACACUUGUAAGAGUUGAGUCGUUCAUUUCAAUAACAGUGCCAUUUUCACUGUUUCAUUGCUUCCUCCUCUUUUCUCUCUACAAUGGCAGUCACUUCUUCUAUUCAAUCCCACUGAAUUGAGUGAAGUUUACAUGAUAUUUCCUUAGGAAGUGUGUUCGAUUUAGUUCUUAAUUAAUUAUUCUCUUUUACCUUUUCGAAAUUAAACCUCGAAUUUCCUCGUUGAGCACAUAAUCAAUUAGUUGCAUCGUUCGAACCUGGUCAUUUUAUGUCACUACAAAAUCUCACAGAUUGUAUUAUUUCCAAACUCAAAUAUAAUUUUGACCUCCAAAAUGUGAACGUAUGAUUUGUUAAUUUGACUUCACCUUUGUCCUCGUAUUCUAUAUCAAGAAUCAAGGCCUUGACACUCGUGUAAUGCUCAAAAUAACUGUCAUUUAACAACUUGCAACAUUUGCCAAUGCAUAUCCAAAAUUAAACACAGCUUCAAUGAAUCUUUAGGAAGUGCUAGCUAGACUUGUAUAAUAUCCACUCGUGUAUAUAUAUAUACACACAACAAUAACAUAUAUUACAUAAUUUAAAAAAAAAUUAUUUGUUUACAAAAAUACUCUCCUCAUGCGUUAGAAAGAAUUUGGAAAAGAUUUUAAAAAGACAGAUGUAUCUUCAUACAUGCUUAUUCAUGUAAAAAUUAUAGUAUUGUUAAUGCCAUGAUUUGCUAUGUAUAAGAAUAAUAUUAUAUUGAAUACGGCGUAUAACCAAUACUGAUAUUAAUUAUACAUAAUAAAAAAACACUACCAAACAAGGAAUUAAUAAUACCAAAACUAAUGACAAAUACUAUUAUUUUUACUAAUACAUCCUACCAAGCGACCCUGUAGUGUAUAUUAAUCUAUUAUAGUAGAUAAUGUGGCCGACAUGUUUAUUAGGCUACUAAUUCGACCCUUUUAUGGCCAGGUACUAGUAGUUACUCAGAUGAUUUGAUAAUGUAAACAUUCUUCUGUUUGUGUAUAGAAGCUAACUCUUUUUUCUUUACCCUACUUGACGCUAGCAAGUUCCAUUUUAGUAAUCUCUCGUAAAAAGGUAAUUUAAAUUGUCCGAGCAUGGACAAUAUGUUGAAGAAGAAACAGUCGUGGCUAAGAGAUGAUCAUUGUAUAAUCGAGAGUUAACUUUUGUUAGUCAAAUAUCAUUCUGAAGCAUAUCCAAUAGUAAGAAUAAUUCUUGAGUGAGUUCUUUCAUUAAUUAUAGUCCUAGUUAAUGAUGGUAAAACCACGAUAUUAUUGUGCUGUCGUCAAAAUAUGUUUAAUUAAAUGCUUUGAUGGAUGAUAAGUAAAGUGUAUGAGGGUCAACAUUGCUAUUCAUAAGAUAUCUUAAAAUAUACUAAACAUCUACCAAACCGCUCUUUUGUGAGCAACUGAACGCAUUAAAAAAAUAAACCAUUCUUCGUAUUCACAUUACUCUUGCUAGAGUUAGUCAAUUCUCAUACCAAAUGUAUCACAUAGUAAAUAGAAAAGAUGAUUAUUAAUUGUAAAACCUAGAGCUAAAUUCAAUUUUAUAGAAAAUAGCCAAAACAGUAAUAAAAGUUAUAAGAAUAAAUUGAUAAGAAUUAUAUUGGCGAAAAAAAUUACUCCUACUCUAUCUGUGUUUGCAUUGGGAUCAAUUUAUUUAACCCUAGUGAAUAAUCUGUUAAUCCAUCAUAAUGUAGUGCUACACGUGCAUCUAACACACUAUUAAAAGAACGACAUUAGUGACGGACAAAUUUUGUAGCUAAAAAAAUAUGUCACUAAUUCUAUUUGAUGACGGAACAGCAACAUACUAUCAAAAAGUAAUGUUAGUUACAAAACGAUUUAGCGACAGAUUAGUGAUGAAGUUCAUAGCUAAUUCCAUUAUUUUUAGUGACAAACACAUCACAAUAGGAAUCUAUUGUUAUUCUUAAAGAAGGAAAAAAGAAAAGAAGAAAAAAACCAAUUUCUUUCUUUUUUAUUGACCAAUCAAUUCAUAUCUGGAUUACUUAGCCUAAAAACCUCAAAAUGGUUUGUGAUUUUCACGAGCAUUAGUUUCAUUGCUUUUUUUAUGCAAUUAUUUCACGUGCUGAAUUUUGGAAAGGAAAAGACAGUACAUUGAAGAUGGACAUAUAUAAUUCCUAUUGUAUUGUCUGGUCAAUAUAACGGCCUAUUUUGCCCACAGGAAGUUGGUUACCUUUCUAUUCAAUCUCGUAUUGUGGUCUUCAUUAUUAUCCUCUUCCUUUUAUUUUCCUUCAAAAGAGAAAGCAAAAUUGGGUUCCCUAAUUUGUAAUUUUGCCGAAACUAUAAUAUAAUUAAGAAAAUAAUCCACUAUUCAUUUUCGAAUUAAUGUUUUUUCAUUACUAGUUAAAACCUUAUAAAGUUUGGACGUUACUUCUCCUGCCACGAUAGAAUUUUUUUUAUGUGUUACUUUCUUUUUCAAUAUGUUUAAACAAAAAUGCUAUAUUUUUAUAUUUAACACACUAAAUUUUAAUUUCAACAUUUUAUUUUACCCAUAGUGACACUAAUUUAUAGAAAUGAUGAUAUGACAUGUUGAAAAAGAAUCACGAUAUUCAAAGCGUACUUUUAACAUAUUAUAUACACUUUUAGUAUAAGAUCAUAAAAUUCAAAAAUAUAUUUUUUAUAUUUUUAAACUUCAUGCUCACUUAAACUAAAAUAACAUAAAACGAUGCAGAUGAAUACAAAUUUUAUCCAUGACUAUGAAUAAAGUUCGUGUUUUUUAAUCAAAGUGUUGUUCCCAUAGAUGCAUUCACUUCUUUUUUUCUCUUCCAGAAGUUUUUGAAUGUCAGAAUAAAAGUUCCGAAGAAGUCUUUGAUAAAUGGUCAAAAAGUUUCUUUGUAAAUUAAAUAAUGUAUGAAAGACAAGUGGGAGAAUUAACUGAGUAUAACACUUUUUGGGUUCAAUAGAGGAGUGGAGGAUGAAUUUAGCAUAAUUAUUGGAAGUUUGAAUAUUUCUUGUUUGACUUGGAGAGGGAGGAAGAAAUUUGUACUAUAGCUAGAGAAUGAAUGUUAACAUCAACCAACCUAAUUUUCAACAAAUAUUCUGGUCUUGGGUUUAAAUUCAUACUAAUAAAAAGGCGAUCGAUAUUGUUCAUGUAAUCAUGUUUGAUCUUUGUUUUCCAAAAGCAAGAAGUAUUUAAAUUAAUUCUUCAACGUUUUUUAUGUUUAACCAUCUAGUAUUCAAUACCGUAUAGAGCUUGAACCUUUUAUUAAAGAUGCAAGAAUCUCAUCCAUUUCAACAUAGUGAUUGUUUAUAUUAUUUGUUAAUGAUCUUUUAUAUAAUCAAAGAUGUAAAUCAAUUUAUUGGGGUACAUAAAUCUCACGAUCCGAUCGGUCCUUUUGAGCAUUUACACUUUGCUCGGUAUUUUACAUGUAUGAGUAAGCUCAGUAUAAAUCAUCGGUUUUCGUUUUCAAGUUGUUCGGAAUCGAUUUGGAAGAACAAAUUUUAUUGUUGAAGCUUUAAAUUGGAAGAGUUCACCAAGUUUGACUUUUUGUGAAUUUGAACCCACAUCGGAGUUUUGAUUGGUUCCGAUAGGUCCGGAUGGUGAUUUUGGACUGGGAUGUAUGCCCGGAUUUGCAUUUAGAUGUUUCUAGAAGGUUUCACACAAAUUGGCGAAGAUUAAAAAUUUGUAGGUUUGGAAAGUUCAAAAGUUUGACCGAGAGUUGACCUUGUAGAUAUUGGGUUCGGAUUGUGAUCCAGAAAGUUGGAAUAGCUUCUUUAUGUCAUUUGAGACUUGUGUGUAAAAUUUGAGUUCAUUCCGGAUUGAUUUGCUAUGUUUACGGCACGAGUUUUGGAAGUUGAAAAGUUCAUCAAGUUCAUUGUGACGACCCUAAAGGUCACUCUUAUUUUAGAAGUCAAAACUGUAUUCCGAGACAUUAAAAAUCUUUUUUUAUCUAACCUCGAAUUGUGUGCGCAAUCCAAUCGCGUUUCCGUGAAGCUUUUAUGUAAAAAUUUAGAAAAAUAACAAAAUUGGCCUUAAAAGGGGUUAAAGUUGACUUGGUCAACAUUCUUAGUAAACGAACCCAGACCCAUGAAUUAACGGUCUCGUAGGGUCCGUAGUAAAAUAUCGGAUAUGGGCAUAUGCCCGGAAUCGAAUUCCGAUGUCCCAAACCCGAAAAAAAAAUUUAAAGAAAAUUAUUUGUCUGAAAAUAUAAAGGCCUUUUGAAAUGAAAUAAUGUGUGUCCUUGAUGGUAUCGAGCCCGUUCUGGAUCCUGGUGUAUGUCUAAAAAAAUAAUUAAGUUGGAUCUGUGAAAUUUGGUAAGAAUUAGAAUUGGUUUGGUAUAAAUCGGACCUAUAGUUAAGAAAUUUGAAAUUUUAAUGUUAUUGGGUAAUUUCAUGAAUUUGAGGUUAAAUUCGUAGUUGUUGAUGUUAUUUUGAUGAUUUGAUCGCACAAGCAAGUUUGUAUAAUAUUUUUAGACUUGCGUGCAUGUUUGAUUUGGAGCCCCAAGGGAUCGGGUGAGUUGAUUGGCCACAAAGUGAAUUUAGACUUAGGGAGAUUGUCGGUAUGUUGCAGUUGUGUAACAUGCCUCUGAUCUCGCAUUUGUGAGAUCAGGCUUCGCAAAUGUGAAGUUCUCAAGCUUGGAAAAUGCAACUCAGGCGUCGCAAUCGCGAACCAAGCAUGGGCAGGCCACUCUUGCAAAUGCGACAAUUUGGUCGCAAAUGCGAAAGAGUCAGGAGUCCCAAAUGCGACAUAUCCUUCGCAAAUGGCGAAGGUAGCAGACUUUUGAAGGGUUCGCAAUUGCGAACUCCUGUUCAGAAUUUGCGAUAACUACACCUACUAAGUGAGAUUUUAGAUGGGAUUUUCUUCAUUUUUCCAACUCUGUUAAACCCUAAACCUCCUUAGGCAAUUUUUAAAAGGCAAAAACUUUUCUAAAUCAUUAGUAAGUAAUUUCUAACUUAUUUUCUUCAAUCUAUAAUAUUUUUUACGUGAUUUAACUUCAAAAUCUAGGGUUUUCAUGGGAAAUUGGGUGUUUUUGCAUAGAAGUUAGGAAUUUUAAAUUUUGGGAAUUUGGACCUUAAUUUGAGGUCCGAUUUCAAAGCAAAUUGCAUAUUUGAGUUCAUGAGUGAAUGAGUGAUCGGAUUUUUGUUUGAACUUUGGGUUUUGACCAAGCAGGUCUAGGGUCGAUUUUUUUACUUUUUGAGGAAAACAAUGGGUAAUCUACUUUCAUGUAUUAGAUUUGGUUUAUUUAGCACUUAUUGAUAUUACUAAGUAAAUUAUGACUAGAUACAAGCGAAUUGGAAGUGUAACCAAGAGGUAAAGCGGUAGUAGAGGUUUAAUCUUGUCCGUGGAAUCGGGUAAGUGUUUGGCCUAAUCUUAGCUUGAGAGAUUAGGAGUUGUGGUCUAUUCGCUAUGUAUUUGUAUCGAUUACGACGUAUAGGUGUGGUGACGAAUACAUAUACGUUUGUGUCAAGUAUGCCCGUGAAUCUUAUAUCACGAUUUUGUGACUCUAAUAUGCAUCAAUCAUGCUCAAUUUGAUGAUUAGUAAUGUUGGACAAAGCUUAUAAAAGUUUCGUGGUAAUUGGUUAUUGUUGAGAAUUGGCAUAAGUUGAGUUUCAUUCUUGUAAAGUAAUUAUUGAAAAUGAGAUUUGUUAUAGUCGAAUUUCUUGCCGGGAUGUUAUUGUUGAUAUUGUCGUUUCCUUUGCCGGGACAUUAUUAUUGAUAUUGUUGUCUCCCCGGGACGUAUUGUUUCUAUUGUUUGGGUGAGGAAGAGUGUAAAUCAUGAAGAGUAAUGUUGUGCAUGAUAUUGUGAAUGAGUGUAAUGCACGAAGGAUGAUGUCGUGCUGAUAUUAUGAAUUUUAAUGCACGAAGCAUAAUGUCGUGCCAUGAAUUAAUAGUUAAUGCACGAAGGGUGAUGCCGUGCCGAUAAUGUGAGAAAUAACGCACGAAGGGUGAUGUCGUUCCGUAUCAUAUGGUGAGGACAAGAGUAAAAGCAUGAAGGGUGAUGUCAUGCACGUGCUACCGUUCCCUUAUUCUUGUUGAUAUAGAUAUGAUGUUCAUUAUGCUUCCUUUUAUUGAUGCUUCUUUAUUGGUUAUUGCGAGAACCUGAUAUUCCCCACACCAUGUCCCCUUCUCGCCUUAUUCUAUUAAUUCAUGUUAUUAUGAUUCUGUUCGUGUAUGAUUUAAUUGCACAGGUUUAUAUGGUUAUCGUGUCCUAGCCUCUUUACUACUUCGGCGAGGUUAGGCUCGACACUUACCAAUACAUGGAGUCAGUUGUACUGAUACUACACUUUGCACUUUUUUGUGUAAAAAAAAAGAUUGCGGUAUCGGACUCGGUGAGUAGCUAAGGUAUCUGCCUUCAGUCCAGGGAGACCAAGGUAGAUCUGCUGGCAUCCGCAAAGCCUGAAGUCUCUUUUCUCUGUUUUAGCUCUUUGCUGUCUCUUUUCUUUCCGAGAACAGUUGUAUUUUCUUUUCGGACCAGUAUUUGUAGUAACUCAUAGAUGUUCGUGAAGUUGUGACACCAGAUCUGAGGGAGGGUGGGAAAAUUCGGGCCGUGUCAUUCAAAUUGACAUGCAAUUCAUGGUUUCGAUGUUGCUAGGUUUUUAGGUUCUACGAGUCAUAAGCAAAUGUCCAAUAGAGUCUUGCGGGUUGUUAUGAUGACGUCUAUACCUAUCUUCUAGAGGCUACAGGGCAUUUAGGAUAAUUUUUCAUCUUUCUUUUCUCAUCAUGCGGAAUCGAUUAAGCUUAAAACAUAACUCUUUGAAUUCCUUCUACGCAUUUGUAUGAGCAUGUGAGCACUCUGCAUGAAAUGUGCAUCGCUGGCUUGUAAUUCAAUAGAUAAGGUGCGAGCUAUGAUCUUGGUGUGUUCAUGGCGGGCUAGUCUUGAGGACUUGAAGCCGGGUUUUCACUGUAGCUUGAGCACGGAUAUUUCGGUUGUGUAAGCACGUGCUUGUGGACUUAUACGUUUGUUAGUGUCCCGAUAAGUGAAUUCAUGGCUAGAUGGCUACGUGGUGAGUAUCAUGUGACAGUGGGAUGUGUUCAUAUAGUUUGAAUGUGACUCGAAGUAUUUGCUUGAGAUAUAGAAAUGAUCAUUAUGUGCUUGAUUUCUAUUGGUGUAUAGUCUCGAUGAUAGCAUCCUGGAAAGCUCAAAUCUAUUCAAGUACAAGGUUUAAGCUUUGGAAUCUCAAAGAGGAAUUAAUGUUGAAGAAGAGUCCAAAUCAGGCCACUGUUGGACCAAAUCAUGCCAUCGUUGGAUCAAUUUGGCAUCUAUAAUGUGUCCAAACUUACAGCCCAUGAAGUUUUACAUUAAGCCACAUUUCAAUAGCAUAAAAAGGACUUACUAGAUGUCCAAGAAGGGUACAAUAGUCGUGCUAGAUGUUGAGUGCAAGUUGGUGCCAAGUUGCUUGCAAAUUUCCUUCAAGAUUUCCAAGAUUUUUAAGAUUCUAUCCAAGAUUGGUUUGAGACUUAUUUUCAUAUAUUGUGGGACCAUAUUAUCGCUUUCGUAGUUAGUUAAGGCUAUGUUUUCCUUUUCUAAGAUUUUUGGAAUUAUUUGUUUGGAAAUUAUUUCCAUAUAUUAUGGGACUAUAUUUAUUAUUUUCCUAGUUAGAUAAGGUUAUGUUUUCCUUUUCCUAAGAUUUUUGGAAUUACUUUCCAAGAAUGACUUGGUUUUUGCUUUCUGGUAUUUUUCUUUUCCUAAGGUAGUUCGACUUGUUCUCCAAAGUAGUUUAAGACUUUAUUUCCAUAUUUUUGUUGGUAGAAUUUCGUGAACCCUCCCUAUAUAAAGGGGUAUAUUCUUUAUUUUUAGAUUAUUCAGAUUAUCAAUAAAAUUGUGAGAUUUGUCUUACACUCUUGUGUGUGGCUACUCUUGGAUUUAUUCUUCAACCUUCAAGACUCAACUUAAGGUGGUAAGACUAAACUCUUUCAAAAUAUUAGAUCACUUCUAGGUAUUCAAGAAAGGUGAUAAGUUUAUAUUUAUUGUUGUUCUUGUUAUUCUAAAGGAUCGGGUUUCACAAACUAUCUCUUAUUUUUAAGUCUCUACCAAAGGCGAUUAGUUCUUCGUUAGCUAAUUGUUAUUGUUAGGAUUCAACUUCAAGAAUAGACUUCUUGAAUUCAAGAAACCCUUUCUUGAAUUCAACCUAUCAUUAAUUUUCCAUCUUUUUUCGUUUCUUUAUUUUCUUUUAGCUUCCACAUGUUUCUUGAUUUUUCUUUCUUGAUUUCAAUCUAUCUUCAAUUUUCCAUCUUUUUUCGUUUCUUUAUUUUCUUUUAGCUUUCGCAUGUUUCUUGAUUUUUCUUGUUUUUCUUUAGUAAUUCUUGAAUCUCCUAUCGUGUUGCUAUAAAGUGGUAUCAGAGCAUAGGCUAAUCAAAAUUUCAAUCUUGAUAAUCCUGGGAGGUUCUUGAAAAACAAAAAACAAAAGAAAAACAAAAAUAAAAAGUUAGCCAAAAAAAAGUGCUAUUGCUCGUUACUAUAUCAAAAUUGAAGUGUUAUUUGGUUUCCAAAUCAAGAAAGGAAAUAAGAAGGGGGGAUCCUAGUUCUUGAAGAUUAAGGUAACUUCUUUCCUUAUUCUUCUAGGUUUUUGGUGUCAUAAAUUCUUUCCUUUUUUUCUUUCUACUAACCAAUUCAUAUUCUUUCUAGGGUUGGGUCGUCUACUUCCCUUUUCUUUUUCUAACUCCUUAUUCUUAUCACUACGAGUUGUGAUUUGUUAGGUCUAUUAAUAAAUCUAAAGAUUAUCAACCAAUUGUUGCUUUGAGCGGGAAAAGGCAAGAGAGGUGAAAACAUUAGAAUGAAAAAGCCAAAAAAUUAGAUAUACAUAUUUCUUCUCGUCUUUGUUCAAGAUGUUUCAAACAGGUAGUUAUAAAGAAAGGAGGCAAGCUAUGACUCAACAACUUGAAAAUUUGAACUUACAGUAUACCGAAUGGAAGGAAGAUAAUUGUAAAGUAACUUUUCAAACAAGAGCUAAAGUAAUGUCUGUGAUUUGUGCCCUUAGAAUUGACAAAGAUUUUGGCUAUAACUCAAUAAGCAUUUAUAUGGUUGAGAAAUUGAAUUUGCCUUAUGUUGAGCAUAUUGAACCCUACAUGUUUGGAGGCGUAAAGGUAGAUAAAAGAGUGUUAUUACUAUUCUCUAUUGGAAGGUAUGAGGAUGCGAUCUGGUGUGAUGUGAUCCCCAAGAAUAAUUAUCAUAUCUUGUUGGGAAAGCCAUGGUAUGACUGUAGAAGAGCUUCAUACAACAUAAAAAAAUAGAUACUCUUUUAAGAUUAACAGGAGGAAACUCAUUCUUGGACCUUUGACUCCCUCACAAAUUUGUGAAGAUGAAAAGACUAUUAAAAACAAUAGAUACUCUCUUGAGGUUAAGGGGAGGAAACUCAUUCUUGGACCUUUGGCUCCCUCACAAAUUUGCGAAGAUGAAAGGAUUGUUAAAGAGAAUAUGGAAAAAUAUGAGAGACAAAAAAAUGAGAGGGGUAAGGGAGUGUAUGUCGACAUCCCAAGAGAGGAAAAAGAAAAGGUUGUGUUGAGUGAAGAGAAUGAUAUGUCAAGUGAGAAAAAAGUGAGCUUGAGGGAAAAGAGAAGAGGAAAUACAAUGAGAUGACAAAAGUAUGUGAGGUAGAAAAAGGAAAACAUGAGGGUUUGAGUGAAGAAAAAGAAGAAAACUUUAGUGAGAGAAAAUAGGCUAAGGGUGAGGAAAAAGUUAAUCUUGAGAGUAAAGCCAAAGAGAAUGUAAGUAAGAAAAUGUGUUCUUUACUUCCUAACCCCUUAAUUCUCUCUUGUUUUAGUUCUUGUGUUUUUGUGCAGCCACAUGUUGAAAGACCUUCUAAAAUUAUAGGUGAGGCGCAAGAUAUGGUGGUAAAGGAUCCUAUUGGAUUCCAACAUGAAAUAGGUGAAACCAAUUCUUGUUGGAUGGUGGAAGAUAAAAGCUUGAUUAGUUUAUUUGUUCUUGAACCUUUUGACUAUUUUGAUCCUUAUUUACAUGUUUAUGACAUGGAGUUGCCUAAAUGCAUUGCUAAGUUGUAGCCAUUGCAUAAAAUAAUACAAGGUGAUGAUGUUCCAUUGGUAAAUAAUUCCAAGUAUGGUAUGUAUAAUUGGUUUAUUCGAAUUCUUGACCUUUCUAGGACACCUAAGAAAUGUUUUGAGGUAAUGAACUAUUCUCUAAUUUCUUAUGCUGGUGACUUUAUAAUUGUUGUGGAUUAUGAUGUUUUGAUGCAUAUCAUGUCAUUAACUAUAAUAUCUAAGUUCAAGUGCAAGAUUAAUUUUCUUCCUUUUGAAAUUGAGUUCGACACAUAUGAUUUUGAAUUCUAACUUGGUAGAAAGAGGCAUAAAAUUUAUGAGAAGAGGCUUGCGAAUAAUUUGAAUAUUCAUUCUUCUCUUAUUCAAGUGUCUAGUGAGCUUUCAUAUGAUAAAUUGCUAGAAUAUGAUUUUUGUUGUAUGAUGGGGAGUCAUUCUUUAAGUCAUAUUGAUUGUGAGCUUGUAAAAGUGUUUUCUACUAGUAAUAAGGAUAUGCAUGAUUGUUGUGACACUAGUGAUCAAAUAUAUUUCAAUGAACCUAUCUAUGACUCUUUCUGUGAUAGUUUGAGCAAUUGUUUAGAAUCAACUGAUGUUGGGUAUAUUAUUGGGGAGAGUCAUAUUCAUAAGAUUGAAUGUAUCAAAACUUUUAAUUUGGGAAUUAUGGAUUCUUCUAAACUUCUUGUGAAUUUAUGGCCUUCUUUAAAUAGCUUAUAUGUAGAAGAAUCCAUGAGAUUUGUAAUUUAUACUUGGCUAUAUCAUAAAAGUGUCUUAUUUGAUACAUGUAUUAGAGAUACUUGUUUUAAAUGGAUGCAUAAUGAAUCUUAUAUAAUUUCUUUGUCAUACACAUCUUUUGACUACCUUAAGAGAGGUUUUUACGGGACAAAUCUAAGUAGGCAUAAAUUUUAUUGGGAUGAUGAUGUCCAUAUGCUUUAUAAAUGAGUAUGUAUACGUAUUGGGCUUAAUUGGGUUAAGUAGAUACAUGGUCACUAUCUUAUUUUAUUUUUACCAUUUUUCAGAAUAGUGGAUACUAUUUACUAGUGCAUAUCUUCGUUUUCUUGCAAGGUCGAAAUUUGAAGACGAAUUUUCUUCAAGAAAAGGCGAAUGAUAACAUCCUAGGAAGCUCAAAUCUAUUCAAGUACAAGGUUGAAGCUUUGGAAUCUCAAAGAGGAAUUAAUGUUCAAGAAGAGUCCAAAUCCGGCCACUGUUGGACCAAAUCAGGCCAUCGUUGGAUCAAUUUGGCAUCUAUAAUGUAUUCAAACUUGAAGCCCAUGAAUUCCUAAAUUAAUCCUCAUUUUAAUAGCGUAAAAAGGACUUAAUUUAUGUUCAAGAAGGGUACAAUAGGUGUGCUAGAUUUUGAGUGCAAGUUGGUGCCAAGUUGCUUGCAAAUUUCCUUCAAGAUUUCCAAGAUUUUCAAGAUUCUGUCCAAGAUUUGUUUGGGACUUAUUUCCAUAUGUUAUGGGACUAUAUUUAUUCUUUCCUAGUUAGAUAAGGUUAUGUUUUUCUUUUCCUAAGUUUUUUGGAAUUACUUUCCAAGAAUGACUUGGUUUUUGCUUCCUAGUAUUUUCCUUUUCCUAUGGUAGUUGGACUUGUUGUCCAAAAUAGUUCAGGACUUUAUUUCCUUGUUUUUGUUGGUAGAAUUUCGUGACCCCUACCUAUAUAAAGGGGUAUAUUAUUUAUUUUUAGAUUGUUCAGAUUAUCAAUAAAAAUUAUGAGAUUUCUCUUGCACUCUUGUGUGUGGCCACUCUUGAAUUUAUUCUUCAACCUUCAAGACUCAACUUAAGGUGGUAAAUUAAAUUCUUUCGAAAUCUUAGAUCACUUCUAUGUAUUCAAGAAAGGUUAUAAGUUUAUGAUUAUUGUUGUUCUUGUUAUUCUAAAGGGUCGGGUUUCACAAUCUAUCUCUUGUUUUUAAAUCUCUACCAAAAGUGAUUAGUGCUUCGUUAGCUAAUUGUUGUUAGGAUUCAACUUCAAGAAUAGACUUCUUGAAUUCAAGAAACUCUUUUUUGAAUUCAAUCUAUCUUUAAUUUUUCGUCUUUUUUCGUUUCUUUAUUUUCUUUUAUCUUCCGCAUGUUUCUUGAUUUUUCUUAUUUUUCUUUAGCAAUUCUUGAAUCCCCUAUCAUGUUGCUAUCACUCUGGUGAUGGGUGUGUUGAAGGAUAUUUCAUGUUGUUUAAUUGUGGAGUGAAUUAUAUUUUCAUGUCGUGUUAUGACUUCAGACUCAGGAAGACUAAGUGAUUGCUUAGUAGUUGUGUCGUGAAAGGUAUAAAGAGAUGUUAGUUUGAAGCUAAGCAUGUGGUUGUAACCUGCAGGGUAAUCUAUGGAUGUCUGAUUUUUACGAUGCUAUGUGGAGGUUUUCCUUUGUACCAGUGGGUUAUAUUUGUGCGAUUUGAGUUUGGAUCAUUUGUAAUAGUUGACCUGACCGUUAGGAGCAUGAAUGCGAGCUUAGCAGACAAUAUGAGGUAUUAUAUAGUUUGUGUUACAAGAGCUUAUGAAGGAUUUAGUUGAAUUUCAAUGCGGAAUUAUGAGUGUAUGCGCAUUGUGAUUUAUUGUUUGUGUCGCAACCCAUUUUCUCGCGAAAGCGGGUUUCGACGCCGUGACAACUCCUUUUAGAAUGGGAGAUAGAGUGCUAAAAGAAGAAGUGCCGUCACUUAACGUUUUUUGAGGUGCAUUAAGGCACCUAUUAUACAGAUAACUUUGUUUGACUAGUCAACUCAUCAAAUAUCCGGUAAGGGCUUAAAUUACCUCAAAGAGAAGGUGUUAGACACUCUUCGAGGUCCACAACUGUGAGUCCCGACCAAACUUAAGAUUAUUUGGAUUACAAUUAAGCUAAGUGAUCAAAUAAAAAAGGGACUUUAAAGGUCAAUGAAUUUUAAUAUAACGUGAUUAGUACAGAUCUUAGUAUAAAUAUAGGAUACAACUAUUUAGAUCUAAUAGCAACAUAUAAGGGGGGUCCUAAGUUUUUUAGCCUAAUGGAUUAACUCGUGCAACAUAAAUGAUAUUUCAUAACUCCCUUACGUUAGAGAGUUACUCAUAUUAUUCAGCAGGUUUAGACUAUUGUCUCCUGCUACCCAAUUACUAUGUAAAAGUUAUUUACCUAAAAACGCUCUAAUGCAAUUCUAUGUCGUGCUCAAUGAGUGCACUACCCAUCCCAUAUCUAUAGUCCAGGAGGUAUUAGACCUCUACUUGGUGGUUCUGGACCUGACUUAGGCUACUUAGAAAUGUCAAAACUACGCGACAUACUAAACACUUAUUGGACUUCAAAUAUGGGAAGAUAUGGGCUCAAGUUAACCUCCAUACUUAAGCAACAAAUGCACGCAAAAUAAGUUUUCAUGUUAGGAUGUUCAAAAUUAAGAACCUUAAACCCUAUAGACAUGAUUUCUAUGUGACUUUGAAUUAAAACAUGCAGGUAAUUUCAAAUGUAAGGUGCCACUCAUCUCCAAAUAAUUACACGAUUGUUGCAUGCUGAUUUAAGGUUGCAAAUUUCCAGUUAUUAACCCUAUAGGUGUUGUGAAUAAGUGAUUUAUGCAGUAAAGACAGUGAAAAGGUUCCCGAAGUUCCAACAUAUUCCUAGAGUCCAGAAUGAGUUCGCCGAUGCAUUGGCUACUUUGUCAUCUAUGAUACAACAUUCAGAUAGAAAUUUCAUGAGUCCCAUUCUAGUGAAUAUUCACGAUCAACCAGAUUAUUGUGCCCAUGUCGAAGAAGAAGCAGAUGGAAAGACUUGGUUUCAUGAUAUCGAAAGAUAUUUGACAAAAGGAGCGUAUCCAGAACUUGAAAGUCCUACUCAGAAACGCACACUUUGGAGAUCGUCCAACAAUUCUUUCAUAGCGGAUGAAUCAUGUAUAGGAGGAUUCCCUAUUUGGGACUAUUAAGGUGUGUCGACUCAAAUGAAGCAUCGAAGCUACUAGAGGAAAUUCAUGAUGGAACCCGUAGUCCACAUAUGAACGGUUUUGUCUUAGCAAAGACGAUAAUCCGAGCUGGUUACUUUUGGAUUACUAUGGAAAUAGACUGCAUCCAGUAUGUCCGAAAAUGCCAUCAGUGUCAAAUACAUACAGAGAUGAUAAAGGUACCUCCAAAUAAGAUUAAUGCAAUAAGCUCAUUGUGGCCGAUCGUCACCUGGGGAAUGUAUGUUAUUAGACUAAUCGAGCAUGACGCUUCCAACGGGCACAAGUUUAUCUUGGUAGCCAUAGACUAUUUCACCAAAUGGGUCGAAGCGGCAUCUUACAGAGCAAUAACUAAGAAAUUCGUGGCAGACUUUGUCCGCGAUCGUGUUGUUUGUCGAUUCGGGGCUCCAGAAUCGAUCAUUACUGAUAAUGGCUCCAACCUCCAUAGUGACUUGAUGAAAGCUAUGUGUGAAACCUUAAGGAUCAAACACAAGAAUUCCACACCCUACGGACCUCAAAUAAAUAGAGUUGUGGAAGCCGCCAAUAAGAAUAUCAAGAAGAUAUUGAGGAAAAUGAUAGAGAAGCAUAUAUAGUGGCAUGAGAAGUUAUCAUUUGCUCUAUUGUGAUAUUGCACCAUAGUCCGCACAUCAACCGGAGCAACCCCAUGUAUGCUGUUUUAUGGUACAGAGGUUGUCAUUCCUGCCGAGGUAGAAAUUCCUUCCCUAAGGAUCAUACAAGAAGCCUAACUCGAUGACGCAAAGUGGGUAAAAAGUCGUUAUGAGCAACUAGCUCUUAUAGACACAAAGAGAAUGAAUGCAGUCUGUCAUGGUCAACUAUAUCAGUACAGAAUGUCCAUAGCCUUCAAUAAAAGAGUCAAGCCGAGACAAUUCACACCGGGACAACUGGUGUUAAAGAAACUUUUUCCGCAUUAGGAUGAAUCCAAAGGGAAGUUAUCUCCCAACUGGUAGGAUCCGUACAUAGUUCACCGAUUACUGACAGGAGGAGCCCUCAUACUAGCUGAGAUGGACGAAGAAGUCUGGCUGAAGCCGAUCAAUUCAGAUGCAGUCAAGCAUUACUAUGUGUAAUCUUUAAAGCUUUUCUCAUAUGAUGUAAUUUGAACUACGCCUGACCUAAUUCUCAUUUAAGAGGGGAUGCGUAGUUGAGGGAGACACUUAAAAUUCCAUAGCAAGAGCGGUUGCAAUGUCCCAAACCACGUCAGAGACGUUGAUUCACCUAAAAAGUAUUAUUAUGUCAUAUUUUUACAAAAACCAUGCAUAUUACUGAAACUGCUUUGUUUAGCAAUGUUACCCCAAUGAUACAUACAGUGUCACCAGAUCAGAGCCGAACAGGUCAAGAAAAGUCUGCGGGGAUGCGAACUAACCUCCCCUUAACAAAACUCACGAUUUUUUUUUGGAUGUAGGCACUUGGAUUGCGAAAUCAUCAAACAUACUAUGCACUCAUGGGAAGAACAUUAUUCAGGAAUAAAACUCUCAGAACCGCUACACUUGUCAGCAUUUGCUAUGUGUACACACCAGUGAUUUUCCAGAUGUCACAACGUUCACAAUAAUCACAAUGUCGCAAUCUACUAUCAGCUAAGAAAACUAUGCUAUCAUUUGUUAUUUCAUCUUGCAUAAGGCUACUAUUCUGCCUUCCGAGGUUAAGCUCUACCUCCAUCUGCAUUUCUAUAUUGCAUAGGGCUACCAUUUUGCCUUCCGAGACUAAACGUUGUCUCCAUCUGCAAUUCUACAUUGUAUAAGGCUUCCAUUCUUCCUUCUGAGACUAAACGUUGUCUACAUAUGCAUGUUUUCAUCGUAUAAGGCUACCAUUAUGCCUUCCGAUACUAAACGUUGCCUCCAUCUGCAUUUCUGCAUUACAUAAGGCUACCAUUUGUCUCCAUCUGCAUUUCUGCAUUGCAUAAGGCUACCAUUCAGCAUUCUGAGACUAAACACUGUCUCCAUCUGCAUUUUUGCAUUGCAUACGGCUAUCAUUCUGCCUUCUAAGCCCGAAGACCCUUUUAAAUCUUUUGCAUAUCAUUAUUCAAAGGCAUUAUUAUUCGGAGGCAGCAUCCUCAUUGCCCGAGAGCAUCAUUUCAUGUCCUGCGAAUCCUUUAUUGUACGCUUCAUGGCCCAGGACGUCAUCCUAAUCGUCGAAAGAUAACAUUCAUUGCCCAACGGGAAUUUGCAUCAUGUUUAAAUUUACGCACAAUAUACGCUUGUAUUGUUUUUAAUUGUAGGUACAUCGGUGAGCAACGACCAUCCCGGCAGGAACAAGUACGCUCCAGUUUCCGCAGCCAUAUCAAAUCUUAGCCCUUCUCACAAGCCGCCCACUCAUCCCGUCCUAGAUAUUGCAUCCGUUCUUAGAAAGUCUACAUCGGCAUAUUUUGCCGAUGGACCCUGAACUACAUAUGAUCUGAGUCCUGUAAAACCCAGGUAUAUGUAGGCAGCUCAGAAGCCAGGACGCGGCCUAAAUUCUUCGAACCGUCUCGUUCGGUCAAAAUUGGUCAUCAUAUCUUUACCCGACAACUCAUUCAUCCUUCCUGGGUAAAGAGGGGCAGUUGUUUAUACCCAAUUAUUUUAUAUAUUUUUUAAAUAUGUAAAAUAUCUUCAAAAUAGCAUUUUUAUGCAUAUAUAGGUUUGUCAAAUAUUUUAUUAUUUUUCCUAAAUUCUUAAAAUAAUUUAAAUCAAUUUAUUUCACUAUUUUAUCCAUAAAACCCCAAUAAUUAUUUCUAAUAUUAUUAUUUUGGUAAUUCAUUUAUUGUACCGUGACAUAUAUGUUGAUAUAUGGCUAAGGUAAUUUUUGCAUAUUUUUACAAAUUUGUUAGUACUUUUAAAGCUAAAUUGCAUAUAAUUGCAAUACUAGCCUCUUUUAAGAUUUAAUUGUGAUUAUAUUCAUAAAAUUAAGUCAUGUAUUUUUAAACUAUUAAUUAUAUGUUAUAAAUUAUAUUAGUACUUUUAAUUUAUUUUCAGAAUCUAACUUACUAUUUUAUAAUUUUAAAAAGGAAAAAAUUAGCUAUUUAAAUAAUAGCCCAAUUUCGUUUCAAUUAUAGCCUAAUUUGAAUCCCAAAUCAAACCCGAAAUGCAAUGAGGGAAAAAGGGGGUGCGACAAUAACCCAAUAUCUUAAAAAAAUAAAAGAAGAAAUCAAGUAUACCUUAAUGACAAGUAUUUCGGCGCUAAUUCGUCAAUAAUGGAAGUUGUGCAUUUGCUUGUUUCGUUCCUGUCGUAUAAAUCAUGUCAAAAAAAAAAAGAAGAAGGAAUAACUUUUACAUACCUGAGUUGAUUCUCUUAACACUUCCUUUAAUAAUCUUGAACCAUGUCACUAACUUUAAACCAUGCUUUUAAUUCAAUUCUAAACCCACCUCCGCAGCAAACAAUAAUUAAGAGAUCAAUAAUCAACUACGUACCUAAGGACAAGCCAUAACCGACCAUCAUUUCCAAGGUUACACCAUUACCCAUUCACUGAUAUCAAUGUCAAAUUUAUACAUAUCCUUCUAAACCCUCACUACGCACAAUCGAAGAAGGAAAAUGACGGAGGUUUUUUUGGGCUAGGCAUGAGAAGUAGAGUGGUUUUUUUUCCCAUGGUGUGAAUGACUGACAAAAAUGCUUGUCUGUCUAUCAUUAAUCUUUAAUUUCUUUUUUUCUAUCUAUAACUCUUGUUUUGUUUUUAUUAUUUUUUAUUUUUUCUUACUGUUGGAUGCAAAUAUGAAAGUAUCAAUCUUUUCUAAAGAGACCCAAAAGAAAAGUACCAUAUAAAACGAAGAGAGUAUUAAUUUUGAUUUCUGAAAGUUGUGGUAAGCUUUCAUUAUACAGAAAACCUAGAAACAACGUUGCCUAUUCAACAUCUCAUGGGCUGAAAGAUCGCCAAAUUAUCCAAAGGCUUUAUCGUUUGGAGGCACAAUCUUUAUAGUCUGAGGACCCAUUUUAAUCUUUUGCAUAUCGUUAUUCAAAGGCAUUAUAGUUCGGAUGUACCAUCCUCAUAGUCCGAGAGCACCAUUUCAUGGCUUACGAAUCCUUUUUUGUACGCUUCAUGGCCUAGGACGUCAUCCUAACCUUCCGAAGACAACAUUCAUGGUCCGACGGGAACUUGCAUCAUAUUUAAAUUUACGCACAGUAUAGGCUUGUAUUGUUUUUAAUUGCAGGUACACCGGCAAGCAACGGCCAUCGCACGAGCAAGCCCGCUCCAGUUCCCGCAGCCAUAUCAAACCUUAGCCAUUCUCACAAGCCACCCACUCACUCCGUCCUGGAUAUUGCGUCUGUUCUUGGAAAGUCUCCAUCGGCAUACUCCGUCGACGGACCCUGAACUACAUAUGACCUGAUUCCUGUAAAAUCAGGGAUAUGUAAGUAGCUCAGAAUCUAGGGCACGGCCUAACUUCUUCGAACCAUUCCGUUUGGUCAAAAUUGACCAUCAUAUCUUUACCCCGACAACUCAUUCAUUCUUCCCGGGUAAAGAGGGGCAGUUUUUGAUACCUAAUGUUUUAUAUAUAUUUUGGAUAUGCAAAAUACCUUCAAAAUAUCAUUUGUAUACAAAUACAUGUGUGUCCAAUGUUUUAUUAUUUUUCCUAAAUUCUUAACGAUUUUUAAAAUAAUUUAUUUUCCUAUUUUAUCCAUUAAAACUCAAUAAUUAUUUCUAAUAUUAUUAUACUUGUAAUUCAUUUAUUGGAAUGUCACAUAUAUGCUGAGAUAUGGCUAAAGUAAUUUUUGCAUAUUUUUACAAAUUUAUUUAGUACUUUUAAAGCUAAAUUGCAUAUAAUUGCAAUAUUAGCCUCUUUUAUGAUUUAAUUGCGUUUAUAUUCAUAAAAUUAAGUCCUGUAUUUUAAAAUUAUAAAUUAUAUGUUAUAAAUUAUAUUAGUACUUUCAAUUUAUUUUUAGAAUCUAAUUUACUAUUUUAUAAUUUAAAAAAAGGGAAAUUAGCUAUUUAAAUAAUAGCCCAAUUUUAUUUCAAUUAUAGCCAAAUUUGAACCCCAAAUCAAACCCGAUUUUCUGAUACAAAAAGGGGAAAAGGGGAUGCGACAAUAACCCAAUAUCUUAAAAAAAUAAAAGAAGAAAUCAAGUAGACCUUAAUGACAAGUAUUUCGGCGCUAAUCUGUUAAUAAUGAAAGUUGUGCAUCUGCUCGUUUCGUUCGUGUCGUAUAGAUCAUGCCAAAGAAAGAAGGGAUAGCUUUAACAUACAUGAGCUGAUUCUCUUGACAAUUCCUUUAACAAGCUCGAACCAUGUCACAACUUUAAACCAUACUUUUAAUUCAAUUCUGAGCCCACCUCCGCAACAAACAAUAAUUAAGAAAUCAAUAAUCAACUACUUAUGUAAUGACCCGACCGGUGGUUUUGAGUCCUAUCGUAUUGUUCAGUAGUCUGAGGCCACGAGAAGCUUCGUUUUAGAUAUUGUGACUUGUACGCAUGGUCCGAAUUGAGUUUCGAAAAGCUCAAAGUUGAUUUGGGAAGAGAAUUCUCACUUCGAAAGCUUAAAGUUGAAGGAAUGAACUAGGAUGAAAAAUUUGAGUAAACAAUCUCGAAAUCGGGAACUGAAUGUUCCAGCAGGUUCGUAUGAUAAUUUCUGACUUGGGUGUAUCCCCGAAUCGGGUUUUGGAUGACCCGAGAGUGUUUUGGCACCUAUUGUGGAAGUUGGUAUUUUGGAAGGAAUUUUAUUUGUUUGGCUUGAAGUGCAUUUCGGUGUUAUCGAUGUCCGUUUGGGAUUCUGAGACUGGGAGUAUCUCCGUAUGGUGAUUCUAGGGAUGGGAGCGUGAUCAGAAGUGAAUUCGGAGGUCUGUAGAUCAUUCUGAAGCCAUUUGGCUAAAGAUAUAAAUUUGAAGGUUUUUGACAAGUUUGACCGGAGGAAUUUUUGAUAUCGGGGUCGGAAUCCGAUUCUAGAAGUUGGAGUAGGUCCGUAAUAUCAAAUAUGAAUUAUGUACAAAAUUUGAGGUCAAUCCAACAUGAUUUGAUAGGUUUAAUCAUCAGAAGUAGAAUUUGGAAAGUUCAAAGUUCAUAAACCUUGAAUCUGGGUGUAAUUCAUGAUUUUAGCGUUGUUUGAUAUAAUUUGAGGCCUCGGGCAAGUACGUAAUGUGAUUUAGGAUCAGUUGGUAGGUUUGGUUGAUUUUGGAGAGCUUUAAGAGGGGAUUUUCAUCACCAAUGUUAAGGUAAGUUAUCUCCACCUAUUUUGAGUUAAAUACAUCGAUUAUGUAUGGAAUUAAGCAUGAAUUGUAUAGAAAAAUUUGGGGUUUUGGUAGAAAGACCUAGAAAUUUUAUUCUUGGAAUUUAACCACGAUAUUGAGUAUGGAAUUUAGUAAAAAUUAUAUAUUUGAGUUCUUAAGCUCAUGGGUAAUCAUUGUCUUCAAAAAAAUUUGAAUUCUGAGCACGUGGGCCCUAGAGCAUUUCCGUAAACUUUUCAAUCGGGGUUAGGAAUUGUUAUAAAUUGGAUUAUAAUGAGUACCUUGGCAUAUAUUAAUGAAUUUGUAUAACCAUUGGCUAGUUUUGGAGCAUUUUGUGUUGGUCCAAUCCUUCGGAAGAAUGUAGAAUGCCGGUUAUGAGUCUUCGGAACAAGGUGAGCCUCCUUUCUAAUCUUGUGAGGGGGAAUUGUCCCCAUAGAUGAGCUAAAUUGGUUAUGUGCUCCUAUUUGUGGCGGCUACGUACGCACGAGGUGACGAGUGUCCGUGCAUAGCUACUAUUAUGCUAUUGUCCAGGUAGUCUACGACCCAAAAGCAUAUUAUACUUGGAUUAUUUAUGAACCAAUUGAUGGCUUGAAUUACUUAAGCCACAUUACGUUACUAAAUGAAUUUAAAAAAGAAUUAAACUUCAUUUUUUAAAAAUUGUUGAAGGAGAAUUGGUUUUUAUUUGAAUAAAUAUUCCCCGAUAAGUUCUUAAUUGAUUGAUUGAGCAUGUAUUCCCUAUGUGUACUUGCGUCGCAUACAUGACUAGCGAGCAGGGUAUGUGUUUAUUUUUUAAACGAGCCGAACGCCUCGGCAGAUUAAAUAGAUGCAUCUAUAGGCGCGUCGUCGAUCCUUGGCAAGUGGACAUUUAUUUCUGUUGGAGCAGACCGUCGACAUCGACGUGAUAUGCACAUGUUUAUACUACUUACUUGAAAUAAUUGAUGUUGAUAUUGCCUUUGUGCCUAACAUAAAUUGCUGAAGAUAAAUGAAAAAAAAUCUUGAAAAUCCUUUUUUAAUUCUUAAAAGGUGUUUACCUGUUUUAUAGCUUUGUGAAUUAAAGCAUGCUAUAUAAAUCCAUGAUAUCCUCACAUUUUAGUAUAUUAUUACUGGACCAUUAGUAAGAGUCAAAGUUGACCAUCACGUCUCUACUUCUUCGAGAUUAGGCGGGAUACUCAUUGGGUACACGUUAUUUUCGUACUCAUACUUCACUUGAUGUGCAAUUUUGUUGCAUAGGUUUAUUGUGUGACUUGUGGCUUAGCGGCAUAGCGCCAUGACGGGCGCAGAGACUAGGUGAGUUGUAUUUCCUCGAGGCGAUUCCGCGGCUAGUGUAGUCUCUCUCUGGAAUUUCUUUAUUUUCUGUCCAAUUGUAUUCUGGAAAGUUAUUGUACGUAUUGAUUUCUCUUAGAAAAUGCUCAUGUAAUUGUGACACCGGUUUCUGGGAUAAAAUUGAGUUUAUUCAGAAAUUUUGAAAGUUAAUUAAAUAUUGCAUCAUGUAUUUAGAGGAAUAUACUGAGAGUUGUUUUAAUCAUAAUAAAAAAGUACUUUUGAAAUUAUUAAAAUAAGAAUUUAAUUAAGUAUUUUAGUUGGUUGGCUUGACACCAAUGUCCGGCGCCAUCACGACGCUUAGUGAAUUUUAGGUUGUGACAACUUACGUAAGGACAAGCCAUAACCGACCAUCAUUGCCAAGGUUACACCAUUACCCAUUCACUGAUAUCAAUGUCAAAUUUAUACAUAUCCUUCUCAACCCUCACUACGCACAAUUGAAGAAGGAAAAUGACGGAGGUUCUUUUGGGCUAGGCAUGAGAAGUAGAGUGGUUUUCUUUCAGAGGAUGUGAAUGACUGAAAAAAAUGCUUGUUUGUCCACCAUUUAUCUUUAAUUUCUUUUCUUCUAUCUGUAUAUAACUCUUGUUUUGUUUUUUUCUUACCGUUGCAUGCAAAUAAGAAAGUUUUUUUCUUAUCCUAAUGAACUAUCUUAGAGGAAAAUGAGGAUGAUAAUGAUGAUGAUGAACCCCAAGCACCAGAUUUAGAUGAUACAUCUACUAGUCCUAUUCAUAACUCAAGUAAUGCACCGGCACACCCACCUGUAGAAACUCCAACUUUUAGUAGACAACCUGCUAAACGUGCAGAAACAUCAUUAGUUUGACAUUUUUUUACUCAGGUAAGAGAACAAAAUUAGGCUAAGUGUAAAACUGUGUGAAAUUACUUGUUCAUAAAUUUACUGAAGACCGUAGCGGCACAGGUAGUUUGGUUAGGCACAUAAAAUACACCCUAGAGAUAAGGCUAGAUUUUUUCAAAUGCAAGCGCAGCAAGAGGGGACAAGUNNNNNNNNNNNNNNNNNNNNNNNNNNNNNNNNNNNNNNNNNNNNNNNNNNNNNNNNNNNNNNNNNNNNNNNNNNNNNNNNNNNNNNNNNNNNNNNNNNNNNNNNNNNNNNNNNNNNNNNNNNNNNNNNNNNNNNNNNNNNNNNNNNNNNNNNNNNNNNNNNNNNNNNNNNNNNNNNNNNNNNNNNNNNNNNNNNNNNNNNNNNNNNNNNNNNNNNNNNNNNNNNNNNNNNNCCUAAUUGGGUUCACUAUAUUAGAAGAGUUUUUAAUCCUACUUAUAAAGGUUGGCCUCGCGCAACAGUUAAGGCCGAUAUUUAUAAAUUCAAACAUGAUGUCAAGCGUACAAGUCUAGUUUAGUGGGAUUUACUUCUAAAGACAAGAAUUUUUUUUCAUCUCCCCUGUCAAAGUCGACGUCUUAACCUGACUUCAUGAGCUCAGUUGAUUCUUGAAGCAGUAGCUCUGGAUCGAGAGCUGGAUGCUUACCUUAUUAUUAUGAAAAGGAGAAAGAGCUCUUUUUAUAGAUGUUGAGGUGAGUAAGGGGGGGUUUGCUGGCUUGCUGGCUAGCUCGUGCAAUCAAGGAAAAAUGCCUUCGCCUUCUUUUUUCAAAAUUAANNNNNNNNNNNNNNNNNUAAUGAACAAUAUUUGCGCUAUUUAUUUACUCAUAUACCUAAUAGGAUUUCUAUUACAACUGAUAUUGGUAGAAGUAAUAAUUACUGUGAUUAUCUAACUAUUACAAGUCAUUGGAUAAGGACUGGACAAUGCAAAAAAGCAUAAUUGCAUAUAGAAUAAUCAAU
rnacentral:lncRNA from 1 species